rnacentral:lncRNA from 1 species
CACUUCUCUUCUUCAGUCUCUUCCCAACUGCUAUUCCUGACCAGAACAGUCUCCAUGCUGGGUGCCCGGUGAUUGAAGGUGAGAAAUGGUCAGCCACAAAAUGGAUUCAUGUUGAUUCAUUCGAAAAGAACUUAGACAUCGGUGGUAACUGCACGGAUUUGAACGAGAGCUGUGAGAGAUGGGCUGCUCUUGGUGAGUGUACCAAGAACCGAGAAUAUAUGAUCGGAACUGCAGAACUUCCUGGCUAUUGUAGGAGAAGCUGCAAAGUAUGUUGAAGGUAAACUACAAGCUUCAAUGAUAGUAUAUCUGCUGCUGCAUUUUCUGUUGUAAGUUUUUUAUUGCUUUUUUUUUUUUAGUUUUUGGAUUCAAAUUUACAUUCUUAUGCUACAGUUUUCACAAACAUAGUUGAAAUCCAUGUAUUCUAAACCUUACUUUCAACUUGGUUAACAUAUCCCCCCGGAAGCUUCAGAUUUGUCGUAGUCUUUUUAGAUUGCUAGCGUUUCACUUUCAGCUGAAAUCUGAAAAUAAUUUUUUCCAUAUUGUACUUUUGAUUUUAAAUAGCAGUAUAUGGAUGUAAACUUUCUUCAACCAUGGACUUUAUUUUGCUUUCUCUUUUAAUCUGUAGGUUCUUGGCUAGAGUGAGUGUUGUUUAUGUUAUGGUCCUGUUAUGAAUUUUAUAUCGAAUGUAUACUUAGAGUUGGUCUUAAAUUCUGCGGACUAAAUCGUAAGGGCCACGGGCUGAAGCUGACAAUACGUUGCAGUUGAGUGUAGAGUACUAGUGAUAUGCCAUUGAAGCUAGUUUGUGUAGAUGAGCAAUGAAUUUCACAAUGGUUGCAUACUAGAUUUGAUACUAGGAUGUAAGUGUUUACACAACCUUUACCUAGAUGGAAGCGGAUAAUACCUUUCAAGUUUGUGUAGAGUGUGAUAGUUUAGGUGAAUUAUCAUGAAACUAGGAUUGAGGGUUACCCAUGCUAAAGGUUUUGGAUCAUGGAAUGACUCAAAGAUUUUUAGGAUCAACUUUAAGGCAAACCUUAUGGGUCGAUUUUUUUUUUUUUUUUUGGAAAUACAAUAAUGUUUUGAUAUUAUAAAUAAAAAUUAUAAUUCCAAAAAGCAAAUUUUCAUAAUUAUUGAAAAAUUUUCAAAUUUCCAUCAUGCAAAUAUAUAUUGUUCAUGUUAAAACCGGUUGAUUUUACAGUUUAAUUCUGAGUUAAAUAGAGCUUGCAAAACAAGCCUGAGCUCCAAAGUUGGCUUGGAUUUUAUAUCUGAUUAGCCAUUAUAGAUAUUAAUAAUUUUAUGGUAUUAUUUUAAAAAUAAAUAAAUUAUAUAUAUUUUUUGAAAAUGUAUUCAUAAGUAGAGGUGCUUAUGAGUUAGGCUUGGGUUGGGUCUAUACAAGGUAUUUAGAUCAUUUUUUUAAGUCUUAGCUUGGCUCGAAAAAUGGGUUUGCUUUUUUGCUCAAGCCCGAUUCAGUUUAAUGAAGGUAAAUUCGGGCCUAACUUGACUCGCUCAUAUUUUAUUUUUUAAGAUUAUUUUUAUUUAAAAAUAAAAAAAAUUAAAAAUCUAAUACACUAAAUGCACUAAAAAUGUUAAAAUAAAAGUUUUCUAACAAAUUAAAAAUAUAUUAAAAAGUAUUUAUAUUAAAAACAUUAUCAUAAAUAUAAUGAAUGUUUUAUUAUAUUAAAAAACACAAAUUAAUAUAAUUAAUAUUUUAUUGUAUAUAAUUUUUAAAAUUUUAUAUUUUGGGUUGGGUUAUUUAGUUGAGUAAGUUUUUUUUGUAUGGUUUUGGGUAAUGAGUUUAAUAGUUAUUGGGUUAGUGAUUUAAUAUAAAUAUAAAUAUAUAAUUAAUAUAAUAUUUUUAUAACAUAAUAUAUUCGGUCAAUUCAUGUCAGGUUCAGGCCAAAAAAAUCUUACCCAAAGCUCCGCUUAUAUAAAAAAUAGGCUUCAAAUUUUACUUAAGCCUAUUUUUUAACCUUGUAUUUUUGUCUAAACUUUUCUAUUUUUUAAACAGAUUUUUAAGCCCAGACAAGUGGUUUGGCCCAUAAGUAGGCCUGUUCAUAAGCAUUGCAUAUUUAUAUUAAUAUUUUAUUAAUAGGAAAUGUAAUUAAUAGUAAUUUUUUUACCUUAAAUUAUAAAGUGAAAUAAUUUUUUAAAAAUAGUAAUUUAAUAGAAAAUGUUUUUAAUACUAUAAUUAUAUAUGUAUCAUAAAUAUAUAAAAUUAAUAAAUAUUAAAAUCUAUAAAUUUAAACUUAAAUGAUAAUACAAUAAUACAUUAUAUAAUUAUUACCGAAACUGAUUACCUAACUUUACCUUCAUCUGUUCUACUAAAUUAGCAUAUUACGAGUACAUAAAAUAAUAUUAUAAUAUAUAACUAAUACUAAAAAUAUUAAUACAUAUAUAACUAUUAUUAUAAUAUAGAUUAGAAUAAAAGAUAUAUUAUUACAUGAGAUUAUAAUGUUUAAUAUUUUUGCACAUAUAUAAACUAUUAAUAGAUGAUAAGAUAUAGCAUUAUAUAAUAUAGUAGGAGGACUAACUGUACGAAAUAUAUAAGGACUUAGAGCAUAUUUCAACUAGUAUAACAAUGAUAUAUGAUAAUAUGUAAUAUAUAAUGUACUAUUAUUAUAUUAUAGAUUAUAAUAAAAGAUAUAACAUCAACAAUUAUGUCUCAUUUAGUACAUUAAAAUACAUUUCUAUAAUUACAACUAGCAAUAUAUAUAAUAUUAUUAAAAUUUUAAUAUAUUAAUAAAAUAUUAUUUUCUAAAUUAUAUAUUGAAUUGGGAUUUAGCUUUUGCAAAUUAUAUUUGAGUAUUGGGUCUAAUUACUUUUUAUUUUGGACUUAUAAUUAAUUUAUUUUGAGUUUGAGUAAUAAUGAGUGUAAGGCCCAAUUUUUGCCCGGACCCACAUAGAUAAUAAUAAUACCAAAUAAAAUGUAAAGCCCAAAUCCAAAUAGCCCAAGACACAUAAACCCUAGCAGCAAACCUAGCGCCACAGCAACCUCACCUCAACGUUGCAGCACUCCGCACGUUUUCCUUCCCUCGCACGCCUCCGCAAAUGUCGCACACUCCGCGCACGUCUUUUACGUUCUGCAACAGACCACGAACAGUAGAGAUAGCAGAAAAUAUAGUAAAAAUUAAAUAGAUUUUAUUUUUUAUUUUUUAUUUUUUAUUCUUCUCUAAGAUUCGGUUAUAAAGACCGAUGGAGGCUUUUGAGGGAGGAAAAGAAAACAAGAAAUUGAGAAGAGGGGUUAAGCAUAUUGAAUCAAAAAAGAAAGAAAUUAGUGUAAACGAAAUACAAAGGGAGAAAAUAAAAAUAGCAGUGGGAUUGAAGGUGAUUUUCUGGGUCUAUUUUCUUCUUGCUCAUUGAUUUCUUUGCUUGUUUUUUUUCUUUGUGCACCAAACAAAAAUAAAAGAAAGAGGAGAAAUCAUUACCAAAAGAGGCGCGCCGUCGACAUCUUUGCUUCUCUUCGUCUAAAUCGAAGUUGAAAUGGGGGAGGUCGGCUUGAAGAACAGAGGAGAGGAUGGAGCAGUUCUUGAGGCUGCUGUUACCGCAAAUGGAAUAGGGUUUUAAUUAGAGUUUGAAAUGGGUUUUAACUUUUAAGCAUUGAUGGGUUAUUUGUGUUUUUAAUCCUUCCAUUUUAUCCCAUCAUUUCAAAACCAUUUUUUUUGUUUUCAAAUUUUUCCAUGAAAUAUCGAAUCUGUUUUAUUUUAGUCCAAUAUGGCGCAACGUUUUGGGUGGUUUGGGUAAAUUUCUCUUUGGGUCCUCCUCCUGUUGCGCGCGUUUUGAUUUGGUCCCUUUUCGUGUUUUCUAUUUUUGAAUUCAGCCUUUAAAUUCUAUUUAUUUUCAUUUUAAUCCUUAAUCUAUCAUUUUAGGUUUUUUUAUUUUAAUAUUAUUAAUACCAUUAUAUUGCAUUAUUAUUAUUAUUACGUUUUUAUUCCAAUUCCUAUACAUAUACACACGCAUAGUUUUUAAUAUAUAUAUGCAUAUUUUCUUUAUAAUAUAUAUGUAUAUAUUUUAAACUUUUGUAAAUACAUGUACAUAUUUUAUAUAUAUUUUAUUAUUUUAUUUUCAUAACUUUUAUAUACAUGUAUAUAUAUACAUUUACAUUUUAUAAUACAUAUAUAUUCCAUAUUUUAUAAUCCAUGCAUAUACAUGCAUUUUCUAUAAUAUAUAUGUGUUCCUUUUUUUAGAAAUUAUUAUAAGUUUUUUCUUGUAUAUAUUUCAUUCAUUUUUUAUAUAUAUGUAUGCUCAUAUAUACGUAUUUAAAUAUAUGCAUAUACAUAUUUUCAAAUUUUAUUUAUAUAUCAUACUUGUAUAUAUACAUAUUGUGUAAAUACAUAUACAUAUAUAAUUCAUAUUAAAGUAUUUGUUUUAUGUUGUAUAUUAACAUUUUAUCAUUUUUUUUAAAAAAGAAAAUAUAUUUGGUUUCAUCAAAGCAUUAAAACUAUUUUUGUUCAAAGGUUUUCAAAAUAAGGCAAUAUUCGAUAUUUGGGAUCUUUGAGAGGAUUGAGCCCUUAAGUAUUGGGUUCCAAUUUUCUUCGUUGAAUCUAAAUAAUCGGGAAUGCUCUUUAAUAAAAAAACAUAAAAAGCUCAUUAUCGGGAAUUCAAUACGUUGUGUCCUAACGCGUUGGAUAUGACGCAUUGUUUUCUCGAGAUGAGGAUUUUUUAAAAAAUAAUAAAGGCAAUAUUCCGUAUUUGGGAAAUUCGAGUGAUUGUGCCCUAACUUAUUGGGUUUCGAUUUUUCUCUUUUAAUCCAAAUAAACGAAUAUCCUUUGAAAUUUAAAUGCAUGGGUUUUAAAAAUCAAAAGACAAACUUAAUUUUGAAGAUUAAAAAUGUUGCGCCCUAACUCAUUGGGUGUGAUGUUUUAUUUCUUUAAAAUAAGAAUGUUUUAGUAUUUUAAUUCAUUCGAGUUAAAAAGUUUUCUUUUAAAAUCUUUUCAAAUUUUCGACACCAAGAUGUUAAACAAUCAAUUCGAUACCGAUUUUGGGUGUUACGAGGGUGCUAACCUUUCCUCGUGCGUAACUGACUCCCGAACCUGAUUUCUCAAAUUUCUUAGACCAAAAUCGUUUUUAAGGUGAGCCGAUCACACCUCAAUCAAGAAUCAGUGGCGACUCCUAUUUUUGUUUUUUAAAGUCGACAACUAAAUUUUUGUUUUCAAAAAAAUAGUUUCGACAGAUUGGCGACUCCACUGGGGACGGUUAGAGAGUCGAGCCGUAAAUUGAUUAGUUUUUGUCUUUUGAUCAAAAAAUCAAAUUUUGUUUUACAUCAUGAUUUCCCCUUUGCAUUCAUUGGUUUUCAUUGCUUGCUUAAUUGGUCUAAGUCCGUUAGUCUAUUUGCAUUUUGCAUUUCAUGGUCAAUUUUUACCCCUUUAAGUGGGAGUGAGAAGCUACUCCUUCAUGAGGUUUUCACCUCCGUGCAGGAUAGUGGAUCACUUUUGGGAUACAUCCAUACUUAUGUCUUCGUGAGAUUUUUAUCUCCGUGCAGCCAUAGGGAAAUAUAUUCCCCUAAACCGAACUCGGUCCAUAUGAGCCUAUAAUGGGUGAGGAUUGAGGAAUCUCCUGGUUCGGGUACCCUUGCUCUAGAAGCCAAACCUCAUAUAGUGAACCUUAAGAAUUCACCUUAGGUAGAAUUACUCUGAACCUUAGUAGAUACCUGACGAGGAGUUUUAUUAUUUCUUGAUUGUAUUGGAUUUAAUGUUUAUUCUGAUACUAACUUAUUGUGCUUUGUUUUGACUGCAUGGCAUUUCAUUAUAGAAAAGAGGUGUUGAUUCACGUUCGACUGCUAAAUAGAGAGCUUGUCAUGAAAAACAGAUUUCUUGAUAAAAGUGAAAGACAAUACAAUUGCCCGAAUAUAGCCCAAGAAAACAUGAUGUGAAAAGGGAAAUAGUCUAACAAAUGAGUACAUGUCCUGGUUUCAUUGCCUAAAGAUUCAAGUUGACAAAGAUUAUUCAAGAGUCAUCAAACGUCCCAACCUUUCUAAAAGGAGCUAAUGAGUAUGAGUGAACAAGGAGUUGCGACACGGAUCAAGCAAAAAGGAGCUAACAGUGGCAUCCAUUGGAAAUUUGCAAGAUUUAUCUUAAACAUACGAAUGAAGAAAGAGAUCGAUGUUUCUUGAAGUAUAAGGACGAGGCCGUAUAUAUUUUCGCUUUAUGUAAAGAAAUUUGUAUUCUAGUAAAGUUUUCUAAGCGAGAUUGAAUAAGAAUCAACGUCUCUUUUUGCAUUCAUCUCAUGCAUUUGCUUUACAUUACAUCAUAUACAUUAAACACCACCAAAAGAUCCUAAUUGAUUAAAAUUAUCUCAGUUAACCUGGGAACCAACCAACCAACCAAACACCGUUGUGGUAUACGGGCAAAAUAAAAAACAUGGACCAAAGAUUAGAAAUGCUCAAACAGUUCCAAAAAGAAAUGCAUGAUUAACUUCAGCAGCAAAUACAAAAGCAGCUCGAGUAUAUUAUUUGGGUUUGGGUUUAGUGUAAUAUGUUUGGGUUUUGAGAUAAAUAUUUUAGAAUAUGAGUAUUAGGUUUAUAAAUUUAAUAAGAAAGUUAAAAAAUUAUUUAAUUGUGAAUAUAAUAUAAUAAUGAACAAUAAAAGAUAUUUUCAUUAAUUCAUAUAAUAUCAUAAAAUAAUAAAUUUUGCAUACAAUAAAUAUUUCAAUUAUUUUAUAUAAAAUAAAUUUAUUAAAUAUAUAUAAUUUAUACUUUUUAUAAGAAAAUUUUGAAUCUUCAUUAUCAUCCUAUAAAAAUCAAAUGAAUGAUUACAUUUAAAAUUAAAAUAUUUAUAGCUUAUAAAAUUCAAAAUUAUUUGAAUUCAUCAGAGCAUGCCUGAAUUGAUCCAAACCCAAAUUCAAAAUAAUUCAAACUUAAAAAAAUUGAAUCCGAAAUAAACCCGAUCCGAGCCUAAAUAAAUUACUGAUAAAAAAAAAGGUAAAGGUAGAUGCUCAACUUUCAACGGUUUCUAUCAUACUUCAACUCCUUUUAAUUGGAUGCCCCAACAGAUUCUCUUAUCUUCAAUGUCAAUGCUAGUUUUCUUUCAACUCCAAUUUAUACUAUUUUUGUAUAUUUAAAGUUUAUUUCUUCAUUUAUUUAUUUUAGAAUUGUAACACUUUUUUUAUAUAAAAAUAUUACAUACAAUUAAUAUAUUUAAAUAAUUAUAAUCAAAAAUAUAUUCAGACCUAUAUCAUAAUAAAUUUAAACAUAAUCUAUAUAUGUGCGACUUAAAUACACAUAAUUUACAUAUAAUAAAACUCAUAUCUAAAAUAUCAAAAUAUCAAUCUUAUCAUUAAACUAAUACCUAAAAAAAAGCUAAGACUUCAUAUCUUUCAUUUGACUUAAAUCAAUAAUAUUGAGAAAAAAAAAUUAUAAAUUAUUUUUUUUAAAUACUAUUAUUAAUAAAAAUCGUAAAUAAUAAUACAAAGACAUGACAUAUAGUACAAAAAAUAAAUGAAUUGUUAUAAAUUAAUGCACAAAUAUCAUGUCUACAGAAUAAUUUCAAAAAAAGAAAAAAGAAGAGAAGGACAAACGAGCAAUAACCGCAAUACUGGGAUAAUUCAAAAACAAACAAGAGAUGCAUCAUCCUGAUCAAAUCGUUGAAAUUUGCAUUCUAGUCUCGCCAUCAUCAAAUCGACCUGACGAUAAAUACCAAUCAACUAAGAAAAACUACCAAAAGCCCCAAGAGACCCGUUGCAUCAGUAAUCCUCAAAAGGCCAAGUCUCAUAUGGCCUAUCCACCUCAUCAUAUCGGAUCUAUCACCAUCACUAUGAUCUAUCAUGAUAAAGCCCUUCAAGAAUGGUUCCUAAUAGAUCUGGCAACACCCUUAUAUUAACAAAUCUCACAUAUAUGCCAAAACAUGACUAAAAAAAUAAAAACUAAAACCACAUCUACUUUCAAAGAAAACAUAAUGAAGAAAAACAAAAAUCACGAAAAAUGUGGACAAAAUAAAACAAUAAAAUUGUAGAUAAAAUAAAACCACAAAAUUGUGGAUAAAACCAUGGUAAUGUGGACUAAAAUUAAAAAAAGAGAGAGUAAAACUACAAAAAUAAUGUUGAAGAAACUGCAAUGAGCAAUUAGCUUGAAGCCUGGCACCGCCAUCGGCAAAGCAAAGAUAAAUUUGAAAAGGUUGAACGAUUAGGGUUUUUAUAUAAAAAGAAGAGAUAAAAAAAUUAAAUAAUACGUGUUUGAAUUCAUUUUAAAAAUACUUAUAUUUUGUCUUCAAAAAUCAGCAAAUAUCAUUGUAAAGGCUGUUUAGGCAAUUUUAAUAUUUGAUACCAUAUCUUUAAUAAAAAAAAUAUAAUCAUUUUCUAGGAAAAUAAUUCAUUUUAAAAAAUAGAACUACCACGUGAGUUAAAGACAAUAAUUGACGAUGCUGUUGAAGCGACAUCCCAAGAAUCGGAUAGGGUUGAAGAUUUUGAAUCUCUUAAGGACAAUGAUGGAUCAAUGUGCUUGAAUGCUUGAUAGUUUUAGUAUUGGUCCUUUUCACAGUUUUAUUUUAAUUAGACAUAAUGAUAUAUUUAUCCCUAAAUAUUUAUAUUUUUUUGUCAAUUUAGACCUUAUUCCUUUUUUUAUUAUCUAAAUUUAGCCCUCAACCUUUCAAAAAAAGUCAAAGAAAAUGUUAACUAAUACAUUAAUUUUUAACGAUGUUAGCGUGACAAUUCAUGUGGCGGCAGCCUACGUGUACUUCAUGUUGAUAUAACAUUAUUUAUGUUAUAUACCAUGUUAAGAAAUAAUUUAAAAUUUAUAAGAUAUUCUCGAGUGGGUGGAACCUUUGAGUUUCUCGAGUGGAAUUUGGGUUGCUUGGGAUGAGUAUCAUUUGAAUAAUCUUUGUUGAGGCAAUUAUGAAUAGUACCACGAGCAGUGCCCACUGUUGUCUAGCAUUAAACUUCGUAACUUGUCAUAUUUGGAGUUGGAAAUUUUUGUUAACAAAGUCUUUGGAUAGUGAUCUCUUUCAAUACUUUAGACAUGUGCAAGCUCAUCUAUGAUAUCCAAACCGAUUAUAAUAACAUAUCUUGAAGAUUAGAUUGGAAUAGAUCAAACAAAUCAAAUUCUCUAUUUUAAGGAGAUUGGAUUGGAUCAUAAACUUGGUAAUAUAUCCUAAAGAUUUGAAGACUUAUCAUGGAUUUAUUGAAGAUAUUCUUUGUGCUAAUUAUCUUUCUACUUUGAUGUUAAGAUUGAUUGUAAUUGAUCUUUGUCUUAACAAGACUUAAAUUCUUAUAUAUUGAAAGGCUUGUGUAUGUAAAAGUAUAUGGAGAAUUUUAGCACUUAUUCUACUAUUUAGAACUUGUUUUUUAGAGUGCAUUUUAUAAGUAACCAAAUGAAUCACUUGGUUUACAAACCAAUUUUUCAGGGUGAAAACUUAAAGCAAAGUGAUUUAGAUCUUAGGUGCAAAAGUGAGGUUGCCAAUUUGGUAAUUGAUACGAUCCGCCUCGAUGUUGAGUCGAGUCGUAUUUGAGUUGCCCGAUCGUCGACGAGAAAGUUUCGUUCGGUUUCGAAAAUAGAUGAAUUUUGGUUAAGUAUGGAAUUGUAUGUUGGAAUAAGUUCAAGGUGGCUAAAAGAUAGAUGGAUUUUAGAUGGAAUAACUUUGGAUGAGCUCAGUUUAACAAAGAAGUAGGAUAGAAAAAGUAAGUGAUGGAGAUGAAUAAUAGAACUUAAACAUCAAGAAAUAUUUUAUACUAUAAUGAGUAUCGCCCCAAAUCUUAUAUGGUUUAAGGUGACAGUUGGGAAUAGGUUGAUGGACCUCGACCCGUUACUUAGCAAAGUAGGAACCGAAGGUAUAUUUAGAUAGAUGAACUCCACACCAGGGUUGGUGAUAAGUUCAGAAACAAGUUCAGGAUGACGCCACUAGCUCACUAGAUAAGUCACUCGAGACUCGUACGAAAUUGGAGAGGAAGUUAACCUCACAGAAACAAAGUUUCAUUAAAAAAAUUGGCAAAAAGUUUAGCAAAAGUCCCUUUACAAAGGCUGAUUUCAUCUAUUUAUAGUGCUAAAAUAGGCUAGCCGAAUGGUCACAAACAUUCAACUUAAUGUGCCAUUUAAAAACUGAAAUAAAACUCAAGUCUUUUCACAUUCUUGAGCCAAAUAACUCCAUUCUUGAAUUCACUUCAAUUCAGCUGAAUGAAUGACUUUAAUUGCUUGAAAAAUGACUCUUGAGUUAGCUCUUGGCCAGCCGAAUAGACACCAACUUAUUAACCAUCUCCUUAAUGGUAUCUGAAUGCUUGAAUUAACCUUUGAAAUAGCAAAAACGGGCUAGUAGUUGAAAAGGUUGUUGCCAAAAUUAAAUAGAUGAUAUAAUGAUCCUUAAAACCUCUUUAAAUGAUGUAUAAACCUCCUUUGUAACAGCUCCUUCUUUUGUAUUCAAAUAGCACUUGUAAGGUCACUUCAAUUAAGUUGUAACAACUUUGAAUUGUAACGGUUAUGACCUGAUAAGACUCCUACAAUAAACACAUUAAAAUGAGCUUAUUAAACACAUGUAAACACUUAUUAAACAUAACACACAUCAAUACUUAACUUAAGUAAAUGAACUAAAACAUAUGCAUCAAUUAUUCCAGCAAUUAGUUAAUUAAAGAAGCAUAAUUAAAUGAACUUAACUCAUGCAUCAAUAAAUAAUCCUAGUAACUAGAUAUGCAUCAAUAAAUAAUCCUAGUAACUAGAUUAAUUAAGAGCAACACUUAUUAAAUAAAGUUCAACAAAAACACUUAUUAAUUAAACUAAGAUGAGUUGAAUAAAUGUCCAGCAACUCAUUUAUUAAACUAAGAUGCUUAAAUGCAUGGUUUGAAAUGCAAACUAUAUGAACAAAUGAGUUACUUAAUGCAAGACUUAAUUUAAUGAUGCAGACUUAAACUAACAUGGGAGUUACAUAAUGCAUGUCAUUAUUUAUGAUGCAUACUUAACUAGCAUGGAAGUUACAUAAUGCAUAACUUUAUUAAAUGCAGAACACACAAAAUGCAAGUCUAAAAUUAAAAAUAUGCAAACUUAUUAAUUUAAAUAAAACUAUAUUGUAAUAAAAAAAAAGUCCUUAAAAAAAUUGGCCCAAUAAUCAAUUAGGCCUAAGAGAUGUUUCAUCUUGCACUUGGGCCCUUCAAGUUUAGGCCAAUCCCGAUGUCGUCGAGAUGUAUCGAAACAUGAUGCGACCAGGUUUGCAUUAGUAAUUGUUAGAACUUGUAAUUACUUGUUUUACGAGGUGUUAAGAAAGUGGAUUAAAUCUAUGGGCUUCUCUGGGCAAAGCUCUACAAACGUAGGAAAAUUGAACUGCGUAAAGAAUUGCUUUGUGUUCAUCUUUGUUCUUCAGCAGUGCUUGAAGAAAUUGGCAUUGCUCAAACAAUUUUGCAAAUAUCAACUAUAGGUUUCAAUAAUUGGUAUCAAAGCCUCCCUCUUAAUGUAGCUAGUGGUGUUUCCUAGUGUCGAUAAUUCCUUGUAGUGGCUGGUUUUUCAAUUUCAUGUCCCCCUAUGUUUAAUGGAUUGGAUUAUUCCUAUUGGAAGGAACGCAUGAGAACCUUUAUAAAGUCUAUUGAUGAGAAAUUUUAGAAGACUAUUUUAUUAGGUUGGGAGCCAUCUAUGAAAGAAAUAGAUGGAGUUUGAACCAUCAAACUAAAAACCACUUGGACUACAAAUGAAGACAAAACAUCCAAUUUUAACUUAAAGGCAUUAUACGUUAUCUUCAAUAGUGUAGAUCUUCAAGAAUUCAAGCGCAACUUCAAGUUUAUUUUUGUUCAUGAGGCUUGGACCAUUCUUGAAAGAUCCCAUGAAAGAGCUAACACCGUAAAAGCAAUCGAAGCCAUAGAUGUUGGCCACCAAAUUUAAGACACUCAGUAUGCAUGAAAGUGAGACUCUUGGUGAAUUUUAUGCCAAACUGUAUGAUUUAUCAAAUUAGGCUUUCGCACUUGGUGAUGAAUAUUCAAACUCGAAACUAGUGAGGAAAGUCUUUAGAUCUUUGCUUGAACAUUUUUCAAUCACAGUGACUAUAAUUAAAGAGACUAAGGAUGUUGAUAUAAUGAAAUUUGAUGAGCUCAUUGCAUCUUGCAAAUAUUUUAAAUGAAUCUUGAUGUGCCAAUGAAGAACACAUUAAAAUAUGAGAAGAGUAUAGCUUCACAAAUUACAGCACCAGUGGUAACUGCUGAUAACAUUGCUAUUAAAGAACAACAAAAGUAGAUUGCUUUGCUUACUCAACUUCAACAAAGUUGUUAAGGAGAUGUCUAAAAGAAACAAUAAGUGUGAUACAACCAAAAGCUUUCCCAAAAAAAAAUAUAAGUGUAAUGAUCAAUGAAGAGGAUUAGGAGCAUGUUGCUCUUAUUGUUAAAACUGAAAGUGUUGCCUCCAGUGUCGCAAGCAGUGGCAAUGAUUCCCAAUCAACAUAAGACUUUAUGGAUAUAUACAAAACCGUUCUUGAAAAAUGGUAUCUUGUAUAUAAAAUUAAUGCUAAUGUUACUGAUGAGAGUUUUAUUCUUAAACAAGAAAAUCAAAUGCUAUUGAAAGACAUUGAAGAAAAAAACUCCAUUCUAGUAGAAAAAGAAGUUGAAUUCAGUGAAACUUUAGAAGAGCUUGCAGUAGCCUAGUAUACCUUGAAAAAGAUAGGAUCAAGAAGCAAGAAAUAGACGAGAUCUUUAUUGUUGGAAGAAGAGAACCAAGAAAAAGUGGUAUUGACAAUGUUGAGAAGAAGGGGAAAUCUAUGAUGAAAAGUCCAACAAUUUUUGUUAAAGCAAAAAAUAUUGUCAAUCAAUGUGAAUGCUCCAAGAAGCUUGUUUUGGUUCAAGCUGAAUAGAAGGUGAUCUUUAUCAUCAAGUUAUUUGUCAUUAUUAUGGAGUUCAUAGUCAUAUUAGACCUAGAUGCUUCAAAGUGUUGAGAGUUCAAAGGUGAAAGCAAGUACUGAUAGAAUCAAUGCCCACUACAUUUGAAUUGCUCGAGGUCAAAGUAAAAAAUCUACAUAGAAGAAAAAUGAGAGGCCAUGAGGAGCAUAAGAAGAGAAUGAUUAUGUCAUUAUUGUAAUAUGGUUGGUGAUAUAAAUAGACCCUUUUCCACCCUAGAAAAAUAACUCAUUACACAUUUAGUUAUUAGCUUUUACAAGCUUUCAAAGAAUUUUGUAUUUACGUUUUAAGGGUUCUUAUUUCGGGUUUCAGGGUUUAGUUUUAUCUCUAUCUUUUGUACUCUUUGUUUUUGCCAUUUUAGUGAAAUUAUCUUUGUCCGUGAUUUUUUAUCCUCUUCGGAGGGGUUUUUCCACAUAAAAUUUGUGUUCGAUCUUUUCAAUUUCUUCGUUAUUUUACUUGUUCGUUACUUAACCGAGUUUAUCCCCAACAACUUUUAAUACACAAAUUAUUUUUUAUACAAUAUUAAAAGUAGGGAAUAACGGUCACACGGUUUAAAACCAUGUCAAAUGAGUGUUUACAUUGCUAAAUUCAAAUUUUGCUUACACUUAUGGUAAUUUAUAUUUGUUAUCAAUACAAACGUACAUUUCACAUUAAAAAUUACGGAAUAUUAUGUUGAUUGUCAACAUUUUUCUAACUUUAAUGUAAAUAAAAUUUAGAUAACCCACAAAAAGUUUUGAGAUAUUUUAUUGCGAUUUUGAUAUAGACACAACGCUUUUUUAUUUCGAAAUCUGAAUACAAUAGUCAUAAUUUUGUUUCGUAUUAAAUUAUUUUAUUUAAGAUCUAUUCAUAUUUUUUAUUUUAAAAAUAUUUUAAUUACCACACCAUCAUCUCAGACUAGUGUUUUAAAUAAAUAUCAACACUUGUAUAUUCAUGUUCAAGGGGGAGAUUAGAAAUUUUGUACUUACAAUAACAUUAAAUUAUAAUUUUAAAAAUAUGGAUAUUAUGUCAAUACAGGAGGACAUCGUAUUGUCCUCAAAUUUAUGAGUUGGGAGGAACUAUAGAUAGUUCUAGGCAUUAUGUCAGAAAAAAAAAUAUGAUCAGAACUUAUAAUGAAAUCAUCCAAAAAUAAAAAUAUUAUUUUUUAUAGGUUUGAAAUCUCCCUGUUUAUGUCAUAUUAUAUAUUUUUUAUUUUGUUGUAUUCAGAAUUAUUAAAUCGACUAAAUAUUAUGGUAUCUUCUAUAAACAAUGGGAUGGAGGAGAUGUUAUUGUGAUUUUAAGGCCAAAGUGCAAGUAAUGGAAUAUCCACCAUAACAUUAUUCAAUUAUAUAUAAUAUUCUCUACAACAAAAUAAUUGUUGAGAAAAUGAAUAAAAUAUUAUCAAUAUGAUGAGUUGAUUUAAUCCAUUAAUAUUAUUAAGAUUUGAGUUUCAACAAAUAUCUCAUUUUUUAAUUAAUCUUUAAUGUCACCCAAUAAAAUUAACGAUAUGUCUUCAUUUUAGAAUGAGAACCGGUUCAAAAUCAAGGAUUUAUUUAUUUGAAUAAAUUAAAUUAGACGUUAUUUUGAAAAUCUUGACUAAGAUAAUCUCUCCACUUUUUUUAAUUAAUAUGAUAAUGGUUGGUUGGGGGUUGGUCCAGCUGUCCCUUGUUUAUUGAUGAAAAGACAAGUUGGUAUAGAACUAAGAUUAGCUGUAGUAAAUCUUGAUCUUAAAAUUAGUCACCAUCCAAUAAUCUUGAUGCACACUUUUGCCACAAAACAAAUAUUCAUUUGCUUAAAUUUAAUUCAAAGAAAAUGUACAUCUGCAUCAAUAGGGUUGGGCUUCAUCUAUUGUUGAUAUUGUUUGGAUUGUCAAAGUUAGAGAGUAAUAGUGCAAAGAUCGAGUGACUAAUGUGUAAAUUUGUAAAGUUACUAAUUGUUCAGAGAUAAAUUUAUAAUCUUUUGAAAUUGAGCGAUCAAAUUAUAAACUUACCUAUAAUUGAGUGACCAAUUUAUAAAUUUAUCAGUCUCACAUUCGUUACCAACUUAACUACCAAUAAUCAACUUGUAAUUUUUAAUUUAUAAUAUAACUUUAUCACGUAUAUAUAUUUUAUAUGAUAAAUUAAAUCUUUAUAGGGACACUUUUGAUAAAGAUAAUCUUUAUAGAGACGCUCAAAAUCUACAUCUCGGAAAAAUAGUUUAGAAAAGUCAAAUUUAUUAUGGAUGACAUAACUGUCAAUAAUUCAUUCAUUUAUUUAAGGUAAUUACGAUGGGGUCAUUAUGAUAUUUUAUUAUGAUAAAUAAUCCAGUUCUUUAUAGCAAUAAUUUGAACUAAUAUAUAAAAUCCUACAAAAAUUUAAUUAGUUUUAUAAACAUUUAAAAUUAAGAUAUGACAAGUCAGCAUGCUAUGUUGAAUUUUUAUUUUUCUUUUCAAAUGUAUAAAUAAUUUCUAUACAUUUUCUGAUAAAGAAAUAUAAAAAACAAACAAUAAUUUCUAUGCUAAUUUAAAUUAAAACGCAGUCAUUUAGAGUAAUUUUAUAAAAUAAAAGAAUCUCUUUCUUCUUUCCUUUUUAUGAAUAAAUAAUUUAUAAUUGAAAUAUAAAACUUAUAUUUGGUAUGAUCCUAUAAUAUUUUACUUAUUUUUAAUAAAGAGAUAAAAAAGAGAGAGUAGAUAUCGUGAGCUCAGAAGUCAUUUAUACGUCAACCCAUGUGUUGGCAACAUAAAAAAGGAAAUUAACCAUGAAAUUUGCAUUCGUGUUUUAAUAAUUUAGAAGGGAGAGAGAGAGAGAGAGAGGGGGGGGGGGUAUGAUUUUGUAAUAGAAAACUGAAAACAGUAGCCAAAUAGCUCAUAAGAAAAUAGAGCCAAAGGGAAUAACAUUAAAUUCACAUCAAAUCCUUUUCAAAGGUUUGCAAAAAAGCAUUUAUACCCUUUUCUUGGGCCUUUUUUGUUCUUUAUUUUUAUGCUAUUAUUGCAUUUCAUUUCAUCCCUAAAGAUCUAAAUUUAAGCCACAAGCUUUGAGGUUUUGACCUUUUGUUGGGUCAUUAGCUUUGAUUAGUGGGAAAAGUUCCUUGUAUGUGCAGUGAGAACAAAGGCUAAAGAAAAUGGAAGUGGGUCAGAUGCAGAGAAGAUUGGUGGACUACACAAAAUCCUUGUUUAUGGAGGUAAAAUCCCAUUAAAAAAAUCAACUUUAAAUGUACAAAUCUGUUAACAAAAAUCUCGUUUUUCUUUUGUCCUUGUGUUCUUCUUCUUGUUUUGGUAUGUUUGGUUUUUCCUUACUUUUGUACUCUUUUUUUUUUGUUUUUUUUUUGUUGGGAGAAGGGUUUCUUGGAUGCUCAGUUUUUGCAGCUUCAACAGCUUCAAGAUGAGAGCAACCCAGAUUUUGUUGUUGAAGUUGUGUCUCUUUUCUUUGAUGAUUCAGAGAAACUUCUUAAUGAUCUCACCAUGGCUUUGUAAGAAACUCACCUUUUCCUUUUUGUUUUCUGCCAUGGAUGUUUUUUUUUUCUUCAUUAAACAUGUCUUUUUUCUUAUACAGAGAUCAGCCAAAUGUAGAUUUCAAAAAAGUUGAUGCUCAUGUUCAUCAAUUGAAGGGUAGCAGUUCCAGGUACAAAGCCUUCAAACAAUAUGAUCCCACAGUUUCAUUACAAAAGUUGAUUAAACUUGUUAGAUCUAACCAUUCUAGAAAAACAAGGCUAUAAAACAUGAAAAAUGAACAAAAUCUUGGAAUGUUCAAGUUGUUUGAUUAAACAAUCAAUGGUUCUUUGUGUGUGUGUGUCAACAGCAUUGGUGCACAGAGAGUUAAAAAUGCUUGCAUUGCUUUUCGUAGCUUCUGCGAGGAGCAGAACAUCGAUGCGUGAGUCUCUUUUACUUCACUCUAAUCUUUCGUUUUAUGAUAUAUUAUAGAUUUCGAUUCGAUGUUCUUGAAAAAAUUGCAGGACACUGAGAUGUCUUCAACAAGUGAAACAAGAGUAUUACCUUGUGAAGAACAAGCUUGAAACUAUGCUCAGGGUUAGUGCACUAGUUUUUUGCUUAAAGAACAUAGUUGUACUUAAGUUAUAAAACCGGUUUUUCUUAUGCUUUUCUUUUCCCGGUUACCGCAGUUAGAGCAGCAAAUCGUGGCGGCUGGUGGGUCGAUUCCCAUGAUUGAACUGGGUUUUUGAAGACCAUAAACAUGAAGGGGGGAAAAGCAUGAUUUUGGGGGUGGUUUAUACAAUAGGAACAUAUGGUGUUUAAGGUUUCUCUUUUUUAUUUAAUCUUACCAGUGAGUUUGUGGUUGUUUGAUGUUCAUGAAAGAAGAGAUUUCAUACUAGUUUCACUCCCCAUAACUUCUAAAAGGAACCUUUCUGUUGAUAAAUUUCCUCUUCAAUUAAUACUGUUUCUUCCAUGAAUGUUAACUAUUGUUCCAGUUUGUGAACACUGGAAUUGCUUCUAGAUUUGUAAUGCUAUUCGUUGCUCUCAUGUUUAUUGACAAUAUCAAAGCAUGUAGUGUAGGAAUAUCGAUAGAAUGAUGUUAAAAGUGCAGGAGACACUCCGGAGGGGGGGCGGGGUUCGAUAUUGCUAAAUGAUUAAUUGCUGGCACAUAAUCCCCCAAAGUAGGGUUAUGGCCAUCAUCAUUGUUUUAGUUGUCUGCAGUUUUUACCCCUUGAUGCCAUUUCCUACUGAAGUUCCCCUUUGUGGAAAGAAUCCCAGUAGACAUCAGCAAAGCUUGUCUUUUCUUGCCAUGUUCCACAUUUAACUGUCGUUUCUUCUAUUAUUAACUGUUAUUAGUCAAUUAUAGAAAAAAGAAACAAAAGAACUGUUGUUAGUCCUGGAGGACAAUAACAUGUUGGCAUUAGUGGUUCAAAGAUAUAAACUGGCAACAAGAGAAUUGUGGGGUUUUGAUUUGAUUAUUUAAGUGGCAGACAAAUGUUGCUACAGUCCAUGCUGUCUGAAUAUGAAUCCAUUUGAAGAUGUCUUUCACAAAAUGUCAACUAUAAAUCUGUUGGGACUGUCUCUUUAUCGGCUGCCAAUAUAUCAGAUUUAACCAUAAAGCUGUUUGAUUUGGUCUAUACCACAUUGUUCUCUGUUCAUCAUAGCUUCCUAAUACAGCGGACCGGUUUUGAUUACCCAAUUGAUCUGCAAAUAGAUUGCAAUAAGCCAUAGUGUCGACAUUUUUCAAUAUUUUUGCUGAUUUCCCUUGCUUGUCGUUUAUCCAAAUCUGUCCAUCCAUGGAUUCAACACCUUCAGCAAUCACUUUGAUUGGCAUUUCUCCAAUGGUAGGUUUCAGAUUGUGAUGAUCUCCACCCAUGAAUAUUGCACCAAUGAUUUCACCCGUGAAUGUUUCCUGCAAAUGAAAAAGAGAUUCAGUCUUCAUUUGAGAAUGUUCAUUUUAUUCAUAAGAUUAGAAAACGUUACCAAAUGGCGAUAUCAAUGAUGAGUUUGCUCCAAAGCGUAAAGCUUGAACAAUUGACGCUUGACGAACUGAACUUCAGGAGUAAUACUUGCCAGGUUCAGCCUCUCUAAGAUCUCUGGAAACAGACUGACUUCACGCUGAUUUUGAGUGAAAUGAGUGUGAUGUUAAUCCUGAUUCGAAGACUGACUAUGCGGAAAACGGAUGGAAAAACAUUGAAUUCGGCGUACUUGUUUGAAGGAAUACUGAAACACAUUUCCUUUAUCAUGACGACUUCGGCUGAUAUGUCCAACAAUAUACACAUUCUGCAGAUAGAUUGCAAACAUAAAUCCCAUGACAUACAUGCAUAAAUCCAUCCAUCAUUACAUACAUACAUGCAUGAAUACAUAUAGACAUACAUGCAUAGAUACAUGUGUGAAAAGGGUAACUGCAUGAAAUCCCAUAUACCUGAACUAGUGAAGCUGUUUUUGUUUUAGUUAUAGUCUUGGCUAAAGUAGUCAGAGGUUCAUUAGUCAAUAUGUUAAUUUUUUAUCCAGGAUCCAUACUUUUCAAUUUUGAAGUCCAAAUUUCCAGUGCCAGAGGUUGUCUUAGUGAUUUGAUUGAGUUAUCAGUUGUAUAUCUUCAGUGAUAGUCCAUAUAUUUCAGUUCUAAGCACUUCAGACAGGAAAGGAUGUUAGAAGAAUACCUUCGACGACUUUGUGGUAAGUGCUGAGGUAGUCCAUAAAGAGUAUCCGAAUCGAGAAAUCUCUCACUUCCAUGUGGGAUAGCCUUAGCAUACUUGCAGUCACCAACAGGAGGGAAUACAUUGUCAGACUGGUUCAUUGCAAAUACGUCUCCAAGACCAACCGGAAUGUCAUCCCAACCCGUCAUGUGCAGUAAAUCUUAGAUUAGGCCUAGUUUAGAAAUGCUUCUCAAAAGUGCUUUUUAGGGAAAAGUUAAGGAAAAGUUAAAAUUUGCAGCUUCUGAAAAAAGUACUUUUGGGCUAAUUUUUUUUAUUUGGGAGAAGCACUUUUAAGAAGUGAGUUGUUUAAGAAUGCUUUUAUAUGAAAAGUAUUUUAUUUUUCCAAAAGUGCUUUUAAGAAGCAUUACUAAAUUAGGCUUAUAUUUAUGGUUGCAGCAUUAGCCCAGUUAGUUGGAGUUACUAAAAUUGCCUGGAUAAAGAGAAAUAUGGACAUCAAAUCAAAGCAUCUCGUUUAGAUUAACGUUUGUGCAGCGUAUUAGGCCAUUGCAACCAUUGUUUCGAUAGCUCGGGCAUGCGUUUUCCGGUGUUAUUUAGAAGUGAAACCAUUUACCUCAAGGUUGAGAACUUCCACAGGCACUUUGAGGAGAUAAAAUAGGGACAAAAAUCUCCAACACUCGUAUCCACAUCGAACACAACAGGUUUUUCGAGCUUCUUUUUCUCGAAAAAUGGCUUGUAAAGAACUCUCUAAUAAGGAAAUUUUGUCGAAAGAUUUAACCUCCCAGUAUGUUCGGGUCUGUUUAGCACCUGCAUUUGGUCAGUGCGUAUGACAUUUGUUCAGUAUACAUAUGCACAAUGAAUAUCAGAUAAACUGAAGUUCAUAUAAUAAGAACUUACAUCCAAAAAGCUUAUGAAAAUUUUUCGAUUAAGUUUGUUGUUGAUGUUCGGAUUAGGUUGUCUUGGUCUCAAAAAGAAUGCGAACCGCAUCCAGGCUGGUUACCUCCAUUGUGUAGUCAUCCUAAAUGGUUAUAAUGCAAUGAAGUCACAAUUAGAUGGUUAAACAGAAUACGAGCUCGAAAUCCAUGGUGGUCUAACUCUAACCUUGAAUUUCCCUUUUCAAUUCUUUAUGAAGCAAAAUGGAUCUCGAAGUCCUGUCUGAACAUGAAAACUAUGCACUCCAUGUUUUUUCAGUUUAAACUUUGGAACUUCAAGGUUAUCGAAGAAUGGAUUGGAACCACCGGAUACUCCGUAAGGCUUAUUCGAAGUAAUUGACAAUUAUGUUCAUGUAUUCCAUUUUUGUAAAUUCAUUCUCUCCAUUAUUCGAGUCAAAAUUAUGCAUGAUUGAGACCGCUACACCAACUGUUAAGGAGUCCCACAUGAAGUAGCUAAGCUGAAGGUACAAAACAAUAGUUGAAAUUAUUAACAGUAGAAAAAUACAAUGCUAGUUGUUACAUAUGCAUUACCAAGAAGAAUUUUGUUAGUACCAUGUUAGAUUCAACAGAACUCGAAGAUAGUUUCGUAUUCAAGGAUCGGAAGCAAUAUUCCACCUCGUAAUUUCCCUGGCUCUCCUCAAAUGCUUUGAGAAACUCUUUAGUCAAGGGGAUGGUGUUAGUUGCAUCUAAAGGAACAAUGGUGAUUGGAACACCAGAAUGAAGCACCUGCAAUAUACAAGUCUAUACAUGAUCAAUCAACAAGGAUAUUGGAGUGUCGAUGUUAUUAACGAAUCGUUUCUCGAGUUACCUGAUAAGCAGUGAAAGGAUCACCAAAGAUAUUGAACUCGUCAUAAAUAUUGUAAUCAGUGAAUAGAUUACCAAGAUAACCACAAUCGUUGGGAUUGUUGGACCUCAAUCCACCACCCAUCACAUGCAUAUCCUCAACGUUCUUUUUCGGAUUAUUCAUUAGAAAAAGUGCGAGAUUCGCGUAAGCUCCAAUUACAAACACAGUAAUCAGACUUGCAGAUAUAGUUUCCAUUAUCACUUGUUGAGCAGUAGGCUGUAGAAAAGGUGAAUAUUUACUGGUGCCCUGAAAAUGAAACCAUUAAAAAAAGGAAGCUUGAAAUCACAUAUAAAUGAACAUGAAAUCCAUCAAUUACUUGUGGAAGAAAGGCUUUUCGAAUGCCAAGGUUAGUGUCUCUAACUAAUCAUCCUCCAUUGCCUAUUAGAAUUGCUUGCCUAUAUCAACAAUACCCAGUUGUUGUCAUCCCCUAGUAAAUAUUGAAAAAUUUAAGCAUAAACAACACAUACUUGUAUUUAACACUCGUAGUAUACUAGUAAAUGUAACUCUACUGUCUGGAUUUUGGAAGAUAUCCACUAACUUUUAGCAAUUUGAUUCCUAAUGAGAUAUUAUAGGAUAUUAUCUUUUAGCAAUUUGAUUUCAAGUACUGGACAACAUGCAGAGCCUCAUCCCAAUGCUCCUGCCUUGACUCAUGCAAAAACAGGGCUAAGACAUGAAUCGAGAUGUCAAAUUAGGUCUGGUCACUGCCAAAUAAAUAAAACAACCCAUUAACCAUCUGUACAACUCAGGAUCAAACAAAGCCGUCCCUAGAGCAUGCGCUAAUUUAUGAUGUUGCUCUAUUGGCGAUCCUGCGGGAUUUGCUCCUGUUAGUACAAAACUCCGGUAAGGAAAAUCUCGAACACACGAUCAGAACUCGAAAAGAAAAGAAGAAAUAGGACAAGGCUCCAAGGCGUGUAUCAAGCCACUAUCUUUAAGGUUAUAUUCGCCCCCACUUAUCUUCAGUGUGCAAAUGAGUUCCAAGCAAAUUAAUCUCGAGGAUACAAUGAAGCCAAUGACUAUUUGCAUUUUGCACUGACGAGAAUAGUUCACUUUGCACUAAGUAAUGUAUAACAAAAACUCAAUUUCUACAAAGGAUUUUUGCAGUAAUACUUUAUAGAAUAAUCUAAUAAUAUUAGAAAAUGAAGGAAGAGAAGAAAUAAUAUUAGAAUUUGUUGAUAUAUUUCCAAAUGAAAACCCAUUCCUAUUUAUAGGAAUUUUCUUGUCUCUUCAUAGAGACAUCUUUCAAUAGGUGUCUUUAUGAUUAAAUAAAUAAUAAUAAUUAUUUAAUUUUGUAAGUAUUCAAAUAAUAUUUUUUGAAUAAUUAUAAUUCUUUUUAAAAAAAUCAAAUGAUAUAACUUUUGACCAAUGACCAAAAGAUUUAUCUUUUGAUUAAUUACACCCAUUCAUUUAUAGUUAUUGGGAUACUAUAAAUAUUUGAAAAUGUUCCAACAAUCUCCCCCCAUUUUCAAAAUAUUUAGAUUUUGAUAUUCUUGGAAAACAAUUUGCAUAAAUAAAGGUGUCUUACGAUUGAACCUUCACUUAGUGAAAAACAUGUUAAAGUUAAUCGAAAUUGCAUGGUAGACUAAGCUUUGAACCAACUAUUCCAUUUGGUUAACUGAACACAUCUCACACAAUGAUUUCAACAUCAGUCAAUGCAUAGUAUCUAGGGACACUAUUAUGGCCAUGUGUCUAUGUCCUCUUUUCAUGAGUGCUGUCAGAGCCAAGCCCUUAAGCUCCUAGAAGCGGCCACACUUCCACUCACAUAGGUAGAUCCCAUCAAAAGUGUUCCCGUAAUUAUAACACUCUAACAUAUUUAUGUUUGGGGUCCAUUAAGAGUAUAUUACUCAUCCUUCCCUUAUCAUUAUGGGUACCUAGCACUUUAAUCUUAGGAUGAAUUUAUUUAUAGUGCUAACAAUCACAUACUAAUGAUGUACUUUGUCUCAUUGAACUUAAGACUUGACGUUAUACCAAGCGUUGAGUCGAGUUUCCAUCAUGGUGACUCUAAUUAAUAGGCUUGAGUCCCAUCCCUUUUGAGGUCCUUUUUACUGCAUCUCUAGCAAGACUUUUUGUUAAAGGAUCGGCCAAAUUUUCACUUGACCUCACAUAAUUAAUAGUGAUCACUCCAUCAGAGAUUAAUUGUCGGACAUAACUAUGUCUUAAUCCAAUGUGUCUAGACUUUCCAUUAUAUACUUGGCUAUAUGCCUUUGCUAGAGUAGCCUCACUAUCACAACGGAUAAAAAUAGGUGAAAUUGGCUUAAGCCAUAAAGGUACAUCAUAAAACAAAUUUCUUAAUCAUUCUGCUUCUUUAGAUGCAGCGGCUAAUGCAAUAAAUUAUGUUGCCAUGGUGGAAUCAAUAGUACAUGUUUGUUUCUUGGAACCCCAAGAAAUGACUCCUCCACCAAGAAUGAAGAUCCAUGCACUAGUAGAUGCAUGAUUUUCCAAACUUGUAAUCCAACUAGCAUCCGAAUACCCUUCUAAAACUGGAGGAUAUCCAUUAUAACACAAUCCAUAGUUAAUAGUUUUCUUUAAGUACCUAAGUACUCUAUUCAAAGCUUGCCAGUGCAAACUACUUGGAUUACUUGUGUACCUACUCAAUUUUCCAACAGCAUAUGCAAUAUCUGGUUUUGUACAAGUCAUUAUAUACAUAAGACAACCAAUUAGACUUGCAUAUUUCAAUUGAUCAAUUUUCCUACCAGCAUUAGAUACUAAUUUUAAUUGAGGAUCCAUGGGUGUAGAUGCUGGUAUACAGUUGAAAAGAUCAAACUUUUUAAGCACAUUUUCAAUGUAAUGUGAUUGUGAUAAAGCUAUAGUGCUUUCAUCUCAGGUUAUUUUAAUCCCAAGAAUAACAUCUGCUACACCUAUAUCCUUCAUAGCAAAGUUGUUUGACAAGAAUUUCUUUGUGUUUUCUAUUUGUUCCAAAUCCAUGCCAAAAAUGAGCAUGUCAUCUACAUAUAAGCAAAUAUGACACCCUUUCCAUUAUCAAAUUUGCUAUAUAUGCACUUAUCGGAUUCAUUUAUUUUAUAGCCAUUAGCUAAAACAACCUUGUCAAACUUUUGGUGCCAUUGUUUUGGUGUUUGUUUAAGCCCAUAUAAUGAUUUAACAAGCUUACAUACCUUAUGCUCUUGUCCUGGAACAACAAAUCUUUCCGGUUGCUCCAUGUACACUUCCUCUUCCAAUUCACCAUUUAAAAAUGCAGUUUUAACAUCCAUUUGGUGAACAACCAAAUUAUAUAUAGAAGUAAGCGAUAUUAAUAGUCUAAUUGUAGCAAUUCUUGCUACUGGAGCAUAGGUAUCAAAGUAAUCAAUACCUUGUCUUUGUGUAAAACCUUUUGCUACCAACCUUGCUUUAAAUUAAUUUAUGGUUCUAUCGACCUUCAUUUUCUUUUUGAAGAUCCAUUUACAACCUAUUGGUUUGGAACCUGGUGGAAGAUCAACUAAGAUCCAAGUUUGAUUUCCCAUUAUUGAAUCCAUCUCAUCAUUUAUUGCUUCUUUCCAAAAAGUAGAGUCUUGAGAUUUCACUACAUCUUCAAAUGUAAUAGGAUCAGAUUCGGUAUUAUAACAAUAAGGUAUCUUAUUGCAUAUACUUUCACCUUUUCCUUCUACAAGAAACAUAAUGAAAUUUGGUCCAAAAUCUUUGACCUUUUUAAUCCUCUUACUUCUUCUUAAUUCUUGACAAGAUUCAUCAUUAUUAUCAAUUUGUUUCAAUGGAAUCACAUUCUCAUUUGAAGAAUGAAUCAAUUGUUGUGGUUGUAAUUGUCUUGAUGUAGAAUUAAAUCUAUUUUCAUCAAAAAUAGCAUCUCUUGAUUCAAUAACAGUAUUAAUUGAAAUUGAAUCAUUUGGUUCAAUUACCAUAAACCUAUAUGCCUUGCUAUUAUGUGCAUAACCUAUAAAUAUGUAUUCAAUUCCUCUUUCACCUAACUUUUUACGUUUAGGUGUUGGAACUUUUACAAUAGAUCUACAACCCCAAACCUUCAAAUAAUUAAUGUUUGGUUUCCUUGUCUUCCAUUGUUCAUAGGGGGUUAUUUUAGUUUCCUUAUUAGGAACUCUAUUCAAUGUAUGACAAGCUGUUAGAACAGCUUCUCCCCAAAAAUCUUGUCCAAGACCUGAAUAUGAUAACAUUGAAUUUACCAUUUCAAUUAAGACUCUAUUUUUUCUUUCAGCUACACCAUUUUGUUGUGGUAUGUAAGGGGCUGAAACUUGAUGGACAAUUCCAGUGAGUUCAAAAUAACUUGGAUUAUAGUAUUCUCCACCUCUAUCCGAUCUUAAGCACUUGAUAAAUGAUUCACACUAAAGUUCAACUUCAGAUUUAUAAACUUUAAAUUUAUCAAGCUCUUCAUCUUUUGAAUGUAAUAAAUAUACAUAACAAUAUCUAGAAUAAUCAUCAAUAAAAGUAACAAAAUAUUUCUUUCCACCUAAUGUAGGAGUAUUAUGCAUGUCACAUAAAUCACUAUGUAUCAAAUCAAGCAAUUUUAUUUUCCUUUUAACCUUAGGGAAAGGGUUUCUUGUAAUUUUAGUCAACAUACAUGUAUUGCAUUUUUCAAUAUUUUUAUUAAAAACAGGAAUUAGAUCUAAGUUAUACAUGUCAUUCAAUUUUCUAUAAUUUAAAUGACCUAAUCUAUAAUGCCACAAACAAAAAGAUUCAACCAUAUAAGAAGAAAUAGUAUUUUUAUUCUUAUUAAUAAUAUUAAGUUUGAACAUGCUUUCAUACAUAUACCCUUUUCCCACAAAAAUUCCUCCAUUAGACAAAAUAAACUUAUCUGCCUCAAAAACAAGUUUGAAACCAAACUUAUUCAACAGACUUCCAGAUACUAAAUUUUUCUUAACUUCUGGUACAUAAUAUACAUCAUUUAAAGUUAAAACCUUUCCAGAAGUGAAUUUUAGUUCAACAGACCCUUUGCCUUUAAUUGUUGCGGUGGAAGAAUUUCUCAUGUACAAGACAUUGUCAUUUUCACAUCGUGUGAACUUUGUGAACAUGCUUUUGUCUUUGCACACAUGUUUGGUUGCUCCGGUAUCAACCCACCAUAUAUUAUCAUCUUGUGCCAUAUUAAUUUCAGAUAUCAUUGCAACGAAUCUUUUCGUUAUUAUCAGCCUUAGAAGAUGAUUUCUUCCUUAAAAAUCGACAUUCAUUCUUGAAAUGUCCCGGCUUUCCACAAUGAUAGCAUGAGCCCUUUUGUUUCUUUUUAAACUUAGGUGUUCUAUCAGUCUGAUUGAACUUUCUCUUGAAUGGUUUAGUAGUCUGUACUUCCUCCGUAACAUGUACUUUGGCAUUUUCAGAAUUUAGGUUCUGAUCUUGUUUUCGAUACUCUUCUUCAAUACGAAAAUGAUUUGCCAAAGCCUCAAGAGAUAUUUCCUCUUUCUUAUGUUUUAGACUUCUUUUAAAGUCUUUCCAAGAUGGAGGAAGUUUGUCUAUUAUGGAGGAUACCACAAUCAUUUCAUCCAUUUUCAUAUCAUAUUGCUUAAAUUGAUUCAGCAUCUUUUCAAUAUCACGAAAUUGUUCCAUAACAGAAAGACCAUCAACCAUUUGAUAAUUAUUGAAACGACUGACAAGAAAUUUCUUACUUGUAACAUCUUCGGUCAUGUAUCUUGCCUCCAAUUUGUCCCAUAAUUCUUUAGUGGUGACCUCAUUUUGGUAGGUGUCGAACAAACUAUUAGAUAAAUCAUUCAAUAUGUGGCCCAUGCACAUGUAAUCAGCAUUGUCCCAUUUUUGUCUUUCUCGGGUUGCAGCAAUAGAUUCGUUUUCAUUCUCUUCAGGUCAUGGAGUAUCCAAAACAUAAGCAAUCUUCAAAUUUGAUAACAAAAAGUACAUCUUUUUCUGCCAUCGUCGAAAAUUGCCACCAUCAAAACGAUCAAAUUUAACAAAGUUGGAAGCCAACUCCCUUCGUGUUCCACUUUCAUGUGCUGUGGUAGUCAUCAUGAAAUAUAACCUUAAAAUUGUUAGUACAAAACUCCGGUAAGGAAAAUCUCAAACACACGAUCAGAACUCGAAAAGAAAAGAAGAAAUAGGACAAGGCUCCAAGGCGUGUAUCAAGCCACUAUCUUUAAGGUUAUAUUCGCCCCCACUUAUCUUAUCUUCAGUGUGCAAAUGAGUUCUAAGCAAAUUAAUCUCGAGGAUACAAUGAAGCCAAUGACUAUUUGCGUUUUGCACUGACGAGAAUAGUCCACUUUGCACUAAGUAAUGUAUAACAAAAACUCAAUUUCUACAAAGGAUUUUUGCAGUAAUACUUUAUAGAAUAAUCUAAUAAUAUUAGAAAAUGAAGGAAGAGAAGAAAUAAUAUUAGAAUUUGUUGAUAUAUUUCCAAAUGAAAACCCAUUCCUAUUUAUAGGAAUUUUCUUGUCUCUUCAUAGAGACAUCUUUCAAUAGGUGUCUUUAUGAUUAAAUAAAUAAUAAUAAUAAUUUAAUUUUGUAAGUAUUCAAAUAAUAUUUUUUGAAUAAUUAUAAUUCUUUUUAAAAAAAUCAAAUGAUAUAACUUUUGACCAAUGACCAAAAGAUUUAUCUUUUGAUUAAUUACACCCAUUCAUUUAUAGUUAUUGGGAUACUAUAAAUAUUUGAAAAUGUUCCAACAACUUCCAAAAGACCCGUAUCCAAAAUAAUAUCAAGUGCAUAUUUCUUUUGACAAAGAAAUAACCCCAAAGAGCUAUGAGCUACCUCUAUCCCUAAAAAAUAUUUAAAAGCGCCAAGAUCCUUCAUAUGAAAGCAAGAACUGAGAUGCACAUUAAAAGUUUUCAAAGCAGUGAAAUCAUUCCCAGAAAUAAGUAAAUCAUCAACAUAAACUAGCACAUGAAUGUGUAUAGAUCCCUUAAUGUAUGUAAAGAGAGAAUAAUCAAAAUAUGAUUGAAGAAAUCCAUACCCUUUCAGUGCAGUAACAAGCUUCGCAAAUCAACACCGAGGAGUCUGUUUCAACCUAUACAAAGACUUGCACAAACGAAAAACCAUUCUAGGCUUAUCAGGAGAAAAAGCUGGAGGAAGCUUCAUGUAAACCUCUUCAUCAAGAUCAUUAUGCAGGAAGCCAUGAUGGACAUCCAUCUGAUGCAACUCCUAAUUUUUCGAACUUGCAAUAGCUAAGCAAGUACGAACAAUCACCAUUUUUGCCACAGGUGCGAAAGUUUCAUUAUAGUCAAUAUCUUUUACAUGGUGAUUACCAAAAAAAAAAGACAAGCUUUAAGUGUCUCAAUACUUCCAUCGAAGUUAUAUUUAAUCUUGUACACCCACUUACUACCCAAUACUUUCUUUCCAAGAGGAAGUGUUUCCAUGAACCAAGUGACAUUAUCCUCUAGAGCACAAAUCUCCUUUUUCAUAGCAUCACAUUAUCCUGCAUCCUUCAUAGCCUCUUUAAAAGACUAUGGCUUGACCUAUGCAGUAAUUGAUGCAAGCAAAUUUCGAUGUUUUACAGUAAAUUUGUAAAAAUUAACAUAAUGCGCUAUAAGAAAUGGAGUACCUGAGUUAGGCUCUGAAGUAGGUGAGACAAUAAAUGGACUUUUCUUUAUGAUGGUAUGAGUGAAAAAAUCCUGAAGCUUCACAAAAGAAAAUUUCUCUCUAUGCUCUCUUCCCUUUUCAGGUGCAUCAUUACCCAAAACCCCCUGUAUCAUCGUGUCAUUGGAGGAAGAAGAAGAUACCAUAAGUGUCGGAGAACUCACAAGUAACGGACUCACAGGCUACAGAAUAGCAAGCGGAGGAACUGUCACAAGUUGCAACACCUAUAACUCACUGAAAUAUGUAUCAAAAAUUACGUCUGCACUCCUAUAUGACAGGGUAACAUUGUCAGGCUCAAUGGUUGCAGUAUUCUCAUCUAAAUACAGAAAAAUAUCCUCAAAAAAAUUUCACAUCGCAGGAUACAAAUAACUUCUUAGCAUCCAGAUCAUAUAAAUACCAACCUUUUUUUUUCCAAAAAGGUACCCAAUAAAAAUACACUUUCAACUUUGACUAGCAAACUUAUCACCCUUAAAACAUUUAUUAUAAGCAAAACAUAAGCAACCAAAUACACGAAUAGCAUCAAACAAAGGAAGGCUACCAAACAACAUUUCAUAUGGUGUUUUAUUAUGAAGGAGUUCGAUUAAUGAGAUGAGAAGCAUCCAACACACACCCCCUCAAAAAAGAUAUAGGCAGAUUUCCCUGAAAACGCAAUGCACGAGCUACAUUUAAAAUAUGUUGAUGUUUCCUCUCCACCCUCCCAUUUGUUGAGGAGUACCAAACAAGAUGUUUGAAAAAUAAUGUCAUUUGAAAGAAAAUAAUCCUGGAGAUAAUUAAAUUUCGUCUCAUUAUCACUUCUAAUACACUUUAUUUGUCAAGAAAAUUAGCAAUCAGUACCAUAGCAAUAAAUGACAUGAAAACUUUCAAACCUCAUUUUUAUUAACUAAUAGAUAUACCCAAAAAACACGAGAGAAAUCAUCAACCAAUGUAAAAAAAUAAUGAGAUCCACAAGAUGAAUAAGUGUCAUAAAAAACCCAUAAAUCAAAAUGAACUAACUCAAAAAUACGAGUGGCUUUCUGUUCACUAAUUGGUAAGCUAUAUCUAGUCUUCUUAGCAUGAUAACAAAUUUCACAUGCUUUAUUCAGAUGAUCUCUAGAGUUGCUAAAAUAAAGAAGUAACUUUACUACUUUCUCAGAAGGGUGAUCCAAUCUUUUAUGUCAAAGUUCCAAAGAGGAUGAAGCUUCAACUGAAACCGCUUUGACCACUAAAACUUGUUGAAAAUAGUAAAGUCCAUCCUGUCUCUUACCCGCUUCAAUCAAUUCCCUAGAAUGAAGGUCCUGAAUAACACAUAUGUUAGUAGAAAAUUGGACAAAACUAUCCAUAUCAUCAUUCAACUGGGAAACCAAAAUUAAAUUGCAGUUUAAUUUAGGAACGUAAAGAACUUGUUUUAAGUGAAUUUUGUUUGUCAAUUUAACCAUUCCUUAUUUGGUAGCCAUUAUUGUUUGGCCAAUAGGGAGUCCCACGAAACAUGCUAUAACAUCUCUCAGAUCCGUCAAACACAUAAGAUCACCCAUAACAUGAUUUGAACACCCCGUAUCAAUAAUCCAAUUAUUAUUAAACUUACCAUUCAACCGAGUGAAAGUUGAUUGUUUACUACUGAACACCGCCAGAAGAGAUUGUCAUUACACAAUGGUAAAACCAGGAAGAGUCGCCCCCUAAAACUUGUGCUGGCCUACAGUGUUAUGUGCUGGUGUUUCUCCAUGGUUGCUAUCCAAGGCAAUAAUGUUGGCUUGCACACUGCCUUUUCCACGAAAAACUUGUUGUGUGGAAGAUACGACACAUAUCUUGUCAUCGCGGCCAUCAUUUUUCAUCUCUGACUUCUCAUACUUCUCAAGCCACCAGGGUGAACAUGCAAGUCAAAGAAAGUAGCCACCUCAUGCCCCUUGCAAUAGCAACGAGUGCACAGUAAGGUUGACUUAUUUAUAUGAUCCAUCUGUCCUUUGUUAUGACCCUUCGUGUGCACCGUAAAGCCUAAAAUUUUAGGCUUCUCUUCCUUGGCUUGUGUAAUGUCGCGUACGCGUUCCUUUCAAGUAAUUUGCUGGAAUGCCCAAUUCAAGGAAGGAAAAGGAUCUUGGGAAAACAUUGUAGACCUAAUCUGGGCAUAAUAAUCAGAAUAGAGAUGAAAAAGAAAUUAAUGAAAUCGGUCAUGCUCACGAUGUUGUUCAUGCGUCUUCCCUAAGUUACAUAAACAUUGACCACACUUACAACAAAUCAAAGGUUCAUAAUUAUCUAAUUCAUCCCACAAAACCUUUAAUUUACUAAAAUAAACUUCAACACUCAUAGUCUUGGUUUGCUCACAACGAUUAAUAUCUGCUUUUAAUUGUUGAAUACAUUGACCGUUGACAACGGAAAAAUGUUAAUGUAAAUCAUCCCAUAAAGUCUGCACAUUAUCAUAAUUGGAAAGCAUCAAUCUUACCUCCGGAUCAUUAGUUUUGAGAAUCCAAGACACAAGCAUAUAAUGGAUGGUAAUCCAAUCAUCCUUCAACCAGGAUGGAACAAGAUCUGUAAUGAUACCGUUAAGAAAUCCAAAUUUGCGCUAAGAAGGUAGAGUGACAUGAAUAGAUAAUCCCAAUCAUCAAAAUUGUCGAGCUUUAAUCGAAUAGGAGAAAUAAAGUCACCAGGUCAAUCUUGAGGACACAAGAAAAAUGGAAAGUUAGGUUCAAUUUUAGGUGGUGGUGGCGGAGGAGAAGUCUCGCCGCCAGCCAUUUAGAAUGAUGAAAGAGAAAACAAAAUAGUGUCAAAACCUUGCUUUGAUAUCAUGACAAGAAUAGGGUAAUCUCUUGAAUUUUAUUGAUAGACCUCAAAGGUAUAUAUAUCUAUACAAUAGUAAUUACGUAAGAAUCAUAUUGCUAAAAUAUAAUAUCCCAUAAUAAUAUCCUAACAGAUUCCAAUAGGAUGUGAUUGAUGCGAAUGUUAUUGUUGGGAAAAUUAUUUUACAAUAUUUGAUAUACAUAAUUUUUUUUACAUUGAAUAAAUUAAUUAAUACUCUAAAAUUUCUUUGGAAUAAUGAAUUGAAGUUCUAUAGGCCAAAAUACGAUAAAACAAACAGCAACUAUGGUUUUUUUUACAUUGAAUAAGUUAGUAAAUACUCUAAACAAAAAUAAAAGAAUAAUUAAUUUUGUCCUAACAAUUUCUUUUUACUUUCCAUCUAUAUGAGAAAGUAAUUUUCUCACCAAUUAUCAAGGGAACCACUUUCCAUUACUUGUGGGAAGGUAACUCCAAUGGAGCAUUACAUUUCAAGGAAAGUAAAUUAAUUUUUUCGUACAAAGCAUUGGAUCAAUUAAAUUCCUUAGAAGUUAUCACUUUUCAUUAUACCAAACUUCCUCCUAAUGCAGAUUAGGUCAAUGAGUUUUUUUUUCUUAAGGGCCUUUUAUACCUUUAAGUUAAUAUAAAUCACAAAAUUGAAAAAAUAAUUCUACAUUUUACUUAGAUGCUAUAUAUCAUACAAAAGAAAAAUAUGGUUACUUAUAAAUUAUUUAGAGGUUACACUCUCCUUGAAGUCCAUCAAUGAAAAAUAAACCUCAAUAAAAAUAAUAUUUUUAACUCACAUUAUAAGUUAAAUUGCUAAAAAUAUUUACCGAGAAAAUCCAAUAAAAUAAAACCUUAGUUAAAAAAAAUAGAAGAAAACAUGUCUUAGACUCUUCUUAAUAACAAGGUCACUUUUUUUUAGUCGACACAUCCUAAAUUCAUAAAUAAAUAUGUCAAAUAUUGCAAUUGAUAAUGCCUUGGUGAAUAGAUUUGUCAAUUUAUUACUUGAAUCAAUUUACUGAACUUUAAUAUCGUCCGUCUUUUCAAAAUCAUUAAUGAAGAAUUAUUUUGAAGAAAUAUGUUUUGUUCUAUCACUUUUGAUGUAUCCUCCUUUUAAUUAAGCUAUACAUGUUGCAUUGUCUUCAUAUAUGAUAAUUGUUAUAUUUUCUUGUAGACAUAAAUCACAUAUAUUUUACAUAAGUUGAGUUAAAAGCCUUAGCUAAACACAUUCAACUUGUAUCAUACAUUGCAAUUAUUUCUACUUGAUUUGAAGAGGUAGCAACUAAUGUUUGUUUUCUUGGAAGCUAUAAUAUGGCAGUACCUCUACAUGUAAAUAAAUAUCCCAUUUAAGAUUAACCAUUAUAUUGAUUCGAUAAAUAUCUAGGAUCAACAUAACCAACUAAUAGAGGCCUUGAAUCACUUGAAUAAAAUAACUUGAUACUAAUGACUCCUCUGAGAUAUCGUAAUACAUUUUUAAUUCCAUUUCAAUACAUACAUGUUAGAGAAGAGCUAAAUCUUACUAGUAAGCUUACAGCAAAUGCUUUAUCAUGUUGUUUGCAAGAUACACUAAUGUUUUUAUGACAUUAAUAAAUGAUACUUUAAGACCAAUAAACUCUCCAUCAUGCUUACAAGGGGGAAAUAUAUUUUUAUUCUUAUCUAAAUAUUUUACAACCAUUAGGGUACUUAAUGGAUAUGUUUUAUUAGUGCAAAAUUUCUUUAAAAUCUUUUCUAUAUAAGUUGACAAAUGAACAUGAAUUUCAUCCUGUAAAUGAUAAAUCUGCAAGCUAAGAUUGAACUUUAUUUUCCCAAGAUCUUUCAUCCCAAAUUCUAUCUAUAAAAGAAUAUGCAUACUAAUGUGCAGAAAUGGGUAACGCCCUUGAGUGGUUACUUGAAAUUCUACAUUUAUGGGUACAUGGAUGGUGCUUUAAGCACUGCAAGCAUAGAAGAAGCAUAUCAUAAUGAAAGAAGGGAGGUAUGGCUAAUUUUGUCUAAACUGAUAAGACUUGCCUUCCCGAACUAAGAUUCUUGUUGCCAAAGAAGCUUUCUUGAUAUCCAUAAAAUCCAAAUGGUGAGAGUCAAUUGAGGUCAUUGUUGAAUCAUACAUUCAAUAUGUCCUAAAAUGGAUAAAGUCAGCUGAAUUGGCAAUUUACAUUUCAUGUGUAGCAACUACUCAAUUGAUCAUUGCAAACAAAAUUAGAUUAUUAAUUAUGUUCCUACGGUGAUUAACGGGGAGGCUGAAAACCUUGUAAAGGUUGGCACUCAGAGAUUAAGGUGGGGAUGGUAAAAUUCGAACCACUUGAUGGAUGUUAAACCAAUCCAUUCCAAAUAAAGUAGAUUUUUUUUUUCAGAUUAGUAGAUGUGGGGUGCAGUGUGUGGGGCAGGGCAAGACAAUUUUUUUUUCUUUUUGGAUAGUGAGUAUAGAGUUGUUAUAAUAAUUGCUUGCUUUACCAAAUAAAAUUAUCAUUUUAUAGUUUAUAUAUAUAACUAUUAAAAGGGUAAAAAUAUAAAAAUGUAUUAUAGAAAAAAACUAUAUAUUUUAUGUUUAAAUUUUUUUAAAGAAUUAUGUUUAAACAUUUAUUAAUUUUAAAAUUUUUGAAAAUAUUAAAAAUAAGUAGCAAAAAAUAAAUUGAAGUGGUGAGAGAUGAGAUGAGGAUGGAUAAAUCCAAUAUCUAUGGAGAUGAUAGUGGUUUUCAAAAUUAUACACCCAUAGUAGAGUAAGGCUAGUGGUGACGCAAAGCGUGCUAACUGUAAAGCAAUAGGGGAUUUAGUGACAUCCGCCCCCUACUUCAUUUUUAUCCCUAAAUUGAAGCCUCUGAUAGUAGUAUAUGAUUAGGUGGUAGUUUAUUGCAAAGAUAGAUGAGAGGUGUUUUUACUGAGUGUGUUGUAAUUUUUUUUCCUUUUUGUUUGUGUGGAUUUUUUUGUGUGUAAAGGCCAUGUUGGUAUUUUUCAAUUGGAUUUUGGUUUGUAUUACAGUUGUUGUUGCUUGUUUUGUGAGGACUUGACAUAGCUUGGCAAGGUUAAGAGGCUAUAAUUGUUUGCUAUUGUUGUAUUUGAAUUUGAACUACAAUUUUUUGUACCUCCAUCUUAUUUAUUUCUCUAUACUUCCCCUUCUUAUAGGUUAUAAUAUAGUCGAGGACCAAAACUCCAAUGCAUUGAAUCAAACAAAAAAAAAACAUUGCCAAUCAUUUCAUUAACAAUAGAAGUAUAAAAACAAAACUGAAAUACAAUUUUUUAAUAUAUAAGAAAAUGUAGUUAAUCCAUUAACAAAAGUGCUUAAUGUAGCUUGGAACUGUAAGAGGUGUAAGAGAGUCUUAGUAAGAUGAGUAGGCUUGGCAUACUAAAAUUUUUAACGUCUAUAAAAAAUUUUAACUUAUAUACCAAUACCAAAAUUUCUAGCUUCUAACAAAAGCGUUAAAAAAAUGGGACUGAUACUAAAAAAAACCCCGAUACUCUAAAAGUUUCUCUUCUGAUUUUGACCUAGUUGUGAGUGGUUAUUUGGCCUCUAACUGACGCUGCUCAUAUUUGUUUUUUCUUUCUUUUCUUUCCUCUUUUCAACAAAAUAAUCUCUAGUUUUCAAAGGGGUUUUCUUUUUUUCUUUUUGGUUUUCUCUUGAAGCCCUCUACCUCUUAUUGUCUCGGUAAUGGUGUCACUUUGGAUCUUCAUUGGUUUUGUUUCUUGACAGGCUCUCGUUGUCUUUGCACCAGAUCUUAUGGCGAUUGUCGUCAUCGGCUCCUGCCCUGGCUUACUCCUUUGUGUUGGGGUCUGGGUUUGUGCUAUGGUGGUUAUGACAACCUUUUUUCUAGGGUUUAAGGUGGCGUGACUUCUACCAAAAGCGUUCUUGAUAUGAGUCAAACACAGUUAGCACUUCCUUUUCCCCAGAGUCUUCUCCCUCUCUUCCCCAUGCGUGGCGUUGACGGCUAAUAGCUAAGGUUCUUUGCUUGGGGUUUGGGUUGGGCUUAUCCUAAAGCUUAAUACUUUGUUUUAUUUUAGGCAUUGUCCCUAUGGCUAGUAACUGGUCCUUUAGGAUUAUUGUUUAUCAUCCCUAGGGUUUAGAUCAAACUGGUCAAUGAAAAUGAGAGACCCUAGGGGUAGACGGGAUCAUACAUAUUUAUAUGUUGUAAUCGAAUAAAUGGUUUGAGGCCUCAUUGUAUGGUGUUGAUCCCUCUCCCAAUUUCACUGGUAGAAGGACUAGUUGUAAUCUUUUUUUAUUAUUAUUCCAGGGUUACUUUCUUUGGGUUUUUUUCCACUGUGUUGGCUUGUCUUAUGUUGUUCUUGUUGGAUCUGGUACCCUAAUUGUAAUGUAUUUGUUUAGCGUACUUGUAUUUUUCUAACAAAUUAGUUAAUAAAAUAAUAUAUUGUUUACAUUGAUAUUCUUUGUAUAAUGUCCACAAUGAUUUUUACGCGCAAAGUAAAAUGGAAGUAAAUUUUGGCUCACUGAUUAUUUAAUAUUUAACUAAUACUAAGCGAUAUUACGUGGUCAGAUUGUAAAACAGAAAGAUAACUUAUAUUAGUAGAUAAUCUAAACAUGUCCUUUGUCUAAUCGAAAAUGAGCAAGCCGAUUGAAAAACUAAUAUGUUGUCUAUCAAGGCCAAUCGGGGAGAUGUUUUGUCUUGAGCAUCGGAGUAGAUGACUCCAAGAAGAUAGGAUGUGACUAACUAGACUAAUAGUUCAUUGGAUAGGACCCAAGUAGAACAGAUUCUAGAUUCAUUUAUGGAUUUAUUCAUUUAUGACAUUCAUAAUAUGACAUACAUUAAUCCUAAGUGGAUGAUGGAUUAUGUAUGAGUGACUCGUAUACUUUAAUGUAAGGUAAAGUCUGAGUUCAAAUAGAUAAGGAAUUGAAAGUUGGUACGUUGGUUAUACGACUUUUGCAAUAUGUAGCAUCAUUCACAAUAGUGAAAUUCAUAGUCUAACUAAUGGGUAAAUGAUAUUCUCUCAUCGGCAUUACAUGAUAGAUGAAAAGUAAAUAUGACCACGAGUCGUUUGUCUUUGAGAUAAAUGGCUUAAAAUUACUAUUUGAUAGUAAUUAAAUUUUUAUGAAGGAAGAUGUAAUGGUUACUAUAAGAUAAAAUAGGAUCAUAUUGAGAGAAUAAAUUUAUCCCAAAGAGAUUAAGGAUAUCCUAGGAGGGUAACACACUUAUGACAAGGUCAUUAGACGAGCAUUGAUUAAGUAGUUUUCGUAAUGUUAUGUAAUUGGAGAGAGCUCAGUUACAAUACUAUAGUGAAAUGAUUUUGUGACUAAAUAAGUUUAUAAUUAAUUGGUGAAAAGUUGGAACUUAAUUAUAAAUUAUUUGAGCUCUAAUUAUUUAUAUUCAAUCUGUCAUUUUGCUAGCUCGUUAAAACUAGAAAUGAAUUGCAUGUAGCACCAAAUAAACAAAAAUUGAUGAAGUUAGAGAAAUGGGUUGCAUUCAUAAAUAAAUGUGUUUUAUCACUAAGUAUAGAAAUGACUAGAGAAUUAAUUUAAGAUUUUUGAAUUAUUAUUUAAUUAUAAUUAAGUAAUUGAAGUUUGAAAAUGGAGUUAAAUUAAUUAGUUAUUAUGAAACCAUUGAAUAUGAAAAAUAAAUUUAUUUCCUUAGAUUCUUUUGCGAUAAAGUUGUAAUGACUUUAAUGGAAUUAGAAUUGAAUUGAAAAAAAAUUUAAUUAGGAAAUUAAUUAGUUAAUUUAAUUAAUUUUAAUUAAACAAAUAAUAUUUAUUUUAAAAAAUAGAAAACAAAUAUUAGGUUGGAUUAAAUUAUGAAGUGUUGGGCCAAAAGUUCAGGAACCACAUAUAAUUGAACCUAAUACAGGAGAGGCUCAAAUCCUCUUAUAUCACAUGUGAGGGGUGGUAACCCUAGUGUUAUUUUCUUAGAAUAAAUUAUAUUUUAUAUGAAUUACAAUUUCUAUCGUUUUCUAUUGAGAGAAUUAAUUUCCUACUGAAAGUAAUAAAAUUUGUUUCUUAUUUUGUGUUUGAUUCGUGUUACUCAAGCUCACACUCAGUGCAAUUCGAGGUACGAUAAUAGCGGAGAAGUUCGUUUGGUUGAAAGCUGAGAACAAUUCAAAUUCGUCUCACACAAAGCAAGUACUGAGGAAAAAAAUAAUAAAAUAAUAAGUUUUUAAGAGAAAACUUAUUGCUAAAUAUCACAAACCGACUUGGUUUUUAAAUUUUUUAAAUUCCAUUCUAACUUAAAACAGUUUUUUUAACCGGACUUUUUCAAUAGUUAUUUUCCCAAUUGGGGUGGUUUGUAACCGUUGUUUUAUGAUAAAAUGAAUUACUUCUUUAUGGGAAAAAACCCUAAAAGCUUUAAAAAUUUUGGCGUACCGUAGAAUUUUCAUUCAAAAAAUACCAGGAUUUGCGGUUGGAUACAUAAGAGCACUACAUUAGUGAAAUUAUGAGAAAUCAAACAAUUUGUUAAAAUAUAAUAAAUAUAUCAAAUAAAGAAAAUUUAGAUGUUAAAAGUAAUCCAAAAAAUAUAGAAAUCUUCUUUUAGAGUUGAAUUUAUCCUCUUCAAUUUAUACUCUUUCUUCCAUUGCUGCUACAUUUCUACUCCAUUUAUUAUUGCUCGUGUUCAUCGAAGUCAAUUAUAAGUAUCAUAUACAUGAAAAAUUGACUCUGUUUUCACAGAAUGACAAAGCUGAUUCGCAAUUCAUUUCAUUUGGUGGUGUACUCCACAUUUUUCUCUGUUCAUCAUAGCUUCCUAAUACAGCAGACUGGUUUUGAUCACCCAUUAGAUCUGCAAAUAGAUGGUAAUAAGCCAUAGUGUCAACAUUUUUCAAUACUUUUACUGAUUUCUCUUGCUUGUUGUCGAUCAAAAUCUGUCCAUCCAUGGAUUCAUCACCUUCAGCAAUCACUUUGAUUGGCAUUUCUUCAAUGGUAGGUUUCAGAUUGUGAUGAUCUCCACCCAUGAAUAUUGCACCAAUGAUUUCACCUAUGAAUGUUUCCUGCAAAUGAAAAAGAGAUUCAGUUGUUGCAGAAGAUCCAAAGGUUCUUUAAUGGAGAAAGUUACAAAACAUUACCAUAUGGUGAUAUCGGUGAUGAGAUUGCUGCAAAGUGUAAAGCUUGAACAGUAGACGCUCGACAAACUGAGCUUCAGGAGUCAUCCUUGUCAGCUUCAGCUUCUCUAAGAUCUCUGGAAACUGACUGACUUUACGCUGAGUUCCAAGUGGGAUGAGCGUGAUGUUCAAUCCUGAUUCGAAGACUGUCUUUGCAGCUAACGGAUCGAGAAACAUAUUGAAUUCAGCAUACUUGUUUGAAGAAAUAGUGAACACAUUUCCUUUAUCAUGACGACUUCGGCUGAUAUGUCCUCCAACAAUAUACGCAUCCUGCAUUAAGAUUGUAAGUAAAUAGUUGAUUUCAUUACAGAAACCAUAUAUCCUGUUACAUACAUAAACCCAUAUAUCCUUCCAUACAUACACGCAAAUAUAUUCAUGCAUACAUCCAUUCAUCCAGCCAUACUUUAAUACAUUCAAGCAUGCAUACAUAUAAUUAGUUAAGCAUGACUGCAUGAAACAACUGACUAAUUCCUCAGUUCACUAUGAACAAAAAGAAGGGAGAGAUGGAAUCCAAGUACCUGAAUUAGUGAAGCUGUUUUUGUUUUAGUUAUAAUGUUAGCUAAACCAGUCAGAGGUCCAUUGGUCAGUAUGUUAAUCUUUGAUCCAGGAUCCAUAGUUUUCAAUAUCGAAGUCCAAAUUUCCAGUGCCAGAGGUUGUCUUGGUAAAUUGACUGCGUUUUCUGCUGUAUAUCUGCAGUGGAAGUCCAUCUAUUUAAUAUUUCACAUCUCAGCUCUUCAGAUAAGAACAAGAAGGAUGUUAGAAGAAUACCUUCGAGGACUUCGUGGUAAGUCCCGAGCUAGUCCGUAAAGAGUAUCUGAAUCGAGAAAUCCCCCACUUCCAUGUGGGACAGACUUAGCAUACUUGCAGUCUCCAACACCAGGGAAUACAUUGUCAGACUGGUUCAUUGCAAAUACAUCUCCAAGACCAACUGGAAUGUCAUCCCGGCCCAUCAUGUGCAGUAAAUCAUAGAUUAUAUCUAUGGUUGCAGCAUUAGCCCAACCAGUUGGAGUUACUAAAAUUGCCUGGAUAAAUAGAAAUACGAUGGACAUCAAAUCAAACCAUCUUGUUCAGAUUUUGCGCAGCAUAUUAGGUCAUUCGCAGACGUUUUUUGAGAACUUGGGCAUGCGUUUUAUGGUGUCAUUUAGAAGUGAGACCAUUUACCUUUAGGUUGAGAACUUCCACAGGCACUUUCAGGAGAUAAAAUAGAGACACAAAAUCGCCAGCACUCAUAUCCAUAUCGAACACAACAGGUUUUCCGAGCUUCUUGUUUUUGAAAUCUGGUUUGUAAAGAACUUCUCUGUAAUAAGGAAAUUCUGUCGAAAGAUUGAACCUCCCAGUAUGUUGGGGUCUGCUUAGAACCUGCGUUUGAUCAAAGCAUAUGACAUUCAUCAGUACACAUAUAAUUGUAAAGAUCAGACAAAUCGAAGUUAGAAUAGUAAGAACUUACAUCCAAAAAGCUUAAGAAAAAUUGUCUAUCAAGUUUGCUGCCAAUGUCCGGAUUAGGUUUUGCCUUGGUAGCAACAAGAACCUGAACUGCAUCCGGACCAGUUACCUCCAUUGUGUAGCCAUCCUAUAUGAUUAUAAUGCAAUGAAUCCCUCAGAUAGUAAGAAUUAGUUGGAAUGAGCACGGAAUCCACAGUGGUCUAACUCUAACCUUGCACAUCCCUAUUCCAUUUUCUACGAAGCAAAAUGGAUCCCGAAGUCCUGUCUGAACGUGACCACUAUGCACUCCAUCUUUCUUCAAUUUAAACUUUGGAACUUCAAGGUUAUCGAAGAAUGGAUUGGAGCCAUCGGAUAUUCCAUAAGGCUUAUUUGAAGUAAUGACAGUUAUGUUCAUGUAUUCCAUUUCUGCAAAUUCAUUCUCCCCAUUAUUCGGGUCUGAACUACACAUGAUCGAGACUGCUACACCAGCCAUGAAGGAGUCCCACAUGAAGUAGCUGUACUGAAGGUACAACAAAAAUGGCAAUAACAGUAGAAAAAUACCGUGUUAGAACAGCAUAUGCAUUUCAAAGUUGGUAACCAUCAGAAAAAUGAUAUCAGUAUCUAUCAAAAACUUUAUCCGGAGCUUAUGGAGUCAACGUUAAGAGGCGGAACCUAGUAGGUCUGGGAUUUGAAUCCCACCAUCUAUAACCCUUUCCCCUAUCCUUGAUGUGCUUCCUCUUUUGCAGAAAACAUACCGUGUUGGGUUGAUUAGAAGAUCGGAAAGCUGUUUUCGUUUUCAAGGACUGGAAGCAAUAUUCCGCCUCAUACGUUCCCUGGCUCUCCUCAAAUGCCCUGAAAAACUCCUCAGUUACGGGGAUGGUGUUUGUUGCAUCCAAGGGAACAACGGUGAUUGGAAUACCAGAAUGAAACACCUGCAAUAUCAGCCAUAGAUAUACAAGUCUAUACACAAUCAGUUAACAAGGACAUUGAAUGUUAAUGUUAUUAAUGAAUUAUUUCUCGAGUUACCUGAUAAGCGGCAAAAGGAUCACCAAAGAUAUUAAACUCAGCAUAAGGAUUACUGUUGUAAUCAGUGAACAGAUUACCAGGAUAACCACACUGCCCUGGCUGGCAAGAUGAGCUAGCAUUUCUGGGACAGCAUCCGUUUGGAUUUUCGGACCUCACUCCACCACCCAUAACAUAUAUAUGCUCAACAUUCUUCUUAAGCUGUGGAUUAUUCAUUAGAAAAAGGGCAAAAUUCGUGUGAGCUCCAAUAAGGAACACCGUAAUUGGACCUGCAGAUAUCGCUUCAAUCAUCACUUGUUGAGCAGUAGGCUGUUGAAGAGGUGAAUAUUUCCUGGUGCCCUGAUUCCAUGAAAGAAACCAUAAAAAAGUUAGCCAAUUCACCAAUUCAGCUCCCAUUGGGAUGUUUACUGAACAAUUACCUGUGGAAGAAAGGCUUUUCGAAGACCAAAGUUAGUGUCCGUAUCUAAUCGUCCUCCUCGACCUACUGGAACUGCUUGCCUAUAUCUACAAUACCCAGUUGUAGUCAUCCCCUGCUAAAUGUAGCAGAAGUUAAGCAUAAACAACAGAUAACUCGUAUUUGAUGCUCAUUUCCGAGUUCAUGUAACAUAGUGCACUAGUGUUGGUAAAUGUAACUCUAGUGAUUGGAUUGAAAAGAGAGAUUUAAACCUGUUCAAUUAUAGGAAGAUAUCCACCAACAUUUGGCAAUAUGGUGCCAUCGUCAAGGAUCCCACCUUCGCCGCCAACUCCGACAGCUAUGUCGUCACGGUUCAUCAUGUAAAGCAUGUCAUAUAUAUGAUUCACAGUAUGCCCGGCAUCAGACCAUAUAUUUGCGUUGAUUGUGAUUGCCUGCAUAUUAAAAUUAUUAUCAAUGAUAUGUCUACCUAUUGCAUCCAAGCAUAUUUCAUCUCUUAAAAUUUCGCCCUAAUUCAACAUAUAGCAGAAAAGAAUUCACCUCCAAAUGAAAUUCUGAUGGAUUAAGCUUCAAGAGAUAGAAGAGAGCAAAGAAGUCAUCGGUAUCGACAUCUGUAUCCAAAAGAAUUCGGAAAGGCUUGGCCUCAACACCGUAAAAGAUUGCUCCUAAAACUUGAAUAAUAAAAAGUAGAGCAACCCAAGAUUUUGUGCGCCGCCACAUCAUGGCUCUUGAUUGAACUGAAAACAGAGGCUACACCAGCAUCGUUUCAGACCCAGGAAUCAAGGCAAACAAAGAUGUUGUUCUUAGCAGUUUCUAAAACUUGUUUUGAGAUAAGAAAAGGGGGUCUUCGCCUCGGUGAUAGAGAAAGAUUCCGCAACUAGAAACACGUGAAAGAAGUGAGACAGAUGAGAUUCCAUUGAAAAAUGGAAAGAACAAUCAAAUUUGAUAAGUUAAUCAAAUACAAUUUUUUCCAUUCAACUUGAAUGAUUGGAAUAACAAAUCCUUUUUAAUUUUGUUAAUUUUAAAAAUGAAUAAAUGGUUCUCCUUCAAUAAAAAUUUACACAAUUAAUUAUAUUGUAAAUAAUUUUCCUUCAUUUGAUUUGACUCUAUUUACAACUUCAUUUCAAGUUAAAACACUCACCUAUCAUUUCUACGGUUUGAAAAUAGAUUUUUUUUUCUUGUAAUAUAAACUAUUUUUAAAAAAUAUAUCUACUAUUAUUUAUUUAUUUUAAUUGAAUUAGUGUAACAUGUAAUCACGAAUUCAUUUAAUUAAAAAAUUAUCCUUUUACAUAUUUAUAUAAGAAAAUAUUUGAAAUUUGUAGAAUCUACAAAUAGGACAACUAUUAUAGUAAAAUAUAAAUAGGAUAAACGGUCAUAAUAAUCAUUUUUGUUUACCUCAAGUUAUAUUUUUGUCACUUAUGUUUGAAAUGUUACAUUUUAAUCACUUACAUUAUUGUUUUGUUACGAAAUUGUCACUGAGUUGUUAAUAGUGUAACGACAAUCUGAUGUGGCUUCUUAUUUCAUCAUAUCAGAUUAAAAUUUUAGGUCAAAUUAUACAACUAAUCACUAUAUAUUUUUUUGAACAAUUUAAUUUUUUUCUUUAUUUUCUUCUUCAUUACAAAAUAUUGUGUCUAAAGGUUAAAUGUUAAAAUCAAAACUUUAAACAAAUGUUAAUUCAUUACUACAAAAACAUUUUUAUUCAAUCCAAAGUAGACUUGUCCAUGGGCCGGGUUGGGCCCGGAAAAAUUUUGGCCCGACUCUUAGGCCCGAGCCAGGCCCGGCCCGGAAUAUGGGCCUAAAAUUUUGCCCAGGCCCGGCCGGAAAAAAAAUAAGCCCGAGCCCGGCCCGAUUUUUAAUAAACACACAAAAAUAUUUUAAAAAUAAAAAAAUAAAAAUAUUUUUAAAGUAUUUUAAAAUUAAAAAAUAAAAAAAAUAUAUUUAUUAUAUUCGGGCCGGGCUGGGCUCGGGCCAAAAAAGUUGAGACCAAGCCCGGCCUAUUUUUUAAACGGGCCUCAUUUUUUUGCCCAAGCCCAUAUUCCGGGCCUAUAUUUUUACCUGAGUUCUAAUCCAAAGUAAAAAAAAGAAAUUAAUAAAGCUUUUUUAUUUUCUUAUUUUUUUCGUCCUCUUCCUCUUAUGUCUUUAUUCCUUUGUCCUUUUUCUUUGAAUGUUUCAAUUCAUGUCUGUCUACCUCAUUAUUCCUCGUUUUUUCUUUCAGUUUCUUAAAAAUUUCUGUAGGAGUUUCCUUAGCUGGACAUGUAAGGAUAUUGCUUACAACUCUUUAACAAAGCAUCAUUUUUUUUUUUUUUGUAAAUUUUCAUUCUUUUUCUCAUUUGAAUCUUGUGUUAUUUCAUCUUUAUGCAUCGAAUUAGCAUAUGGUUUCUCAUAUUUUGUUAUGUAAGACCUUAAUUUGAUCUUACCAAAGUUAGUGACUUUUUAGUUUGUUGCCUAGCUUUCCCAGUGUAGAUUUUAUGGUUUUUUACUCUUAGCAUUCAAUCUAGCUUCAUGUUCUUGCCUACUUACUUAUUUCUCUUCUUUCAUCUUUCAGCUUUUUAUUACUAAUUAAGAUUAAGUUUUGAUUUGUUGUGUGUAGUUAUUAAUUUCAUUCUAAAUUUUCUUUAGCGGCAAAGCAUGGGGAUCUAAUAUGCCAGUUGAAUUUAAAAGCUGUUAAAUUUCAAUAUGAUUCAUUCAACUGCAAAAAAAAAAUAUGGGUAUAUAUAUCUCAACACCCCAAAAUUGAAAAAUUCUUUGAAGAUGGUGAGAAUGUUAUGUUUUUGGAGUGAAGAAUCUGAAAAGAGAAAAUUAAUGGGGAAGAAAAAGAAAAGAAAAGAAAAAUAAAGGAAAAAAAUUGUUCAAAAAAAUAAAAUUAUAGGGACUAAUUGUGUAAUUUGAUCUAAAAUUUUAGUUUGAUAUGAUGAAAUAACAUGCCACCUCAUAUUACUAUUACAACAUUAACAACCGUUAACAACUCAGUGAUCAUUUCGUAACAAAACAAUAACGUAAGUGACUAAAAUAUAAUAUUUCAAACAUAACUAAAAUAUAAUCUGAAGCAAACAAAAGAAACUAUUUUGGUAGUUUACCCAUAUAAAUAUUAAAAAAAAGACACAUGUAACAAUUUUUUAAGUUACUCGUGAAAUAAAAAUGAAAAUACAAUGUCACUAUAUUAAAUACUAACCCUUUUGAAAAAAAAAAUUAUAAGUAUAGUGGCCAAAUCUUUAACACUUAAAUGGAUUUAUUUACUAUUUGGCUCUUAAAUUAUAUACUUAAACAUUUUCUUGUCUUAUUUUAAUACUUUAACUUUGCUCUUAAAAAACUAACAACAUUAAAAAUUAAGCUGGACAAUGAGAUCCAUCAUGUCAUCGACGAUAGGGUACAUUGAUAGAUCAUAUGGCAGGUUGACUAAUGGUAAUCUCAUUAAGAUUAACCGAUGUUAUUCAAAGUUGGUCAUGAGAUCAAGCGACGAUAGUAAAAAAAAAAAAAAUCAUUACAAGUUAAACAUUUUUAAAAUGUAAAAAAAAAUUGUUAAAUUAUUUUAAAUAUUAAAAAUUUGAAAUAAUAAUUAAAAGUUAUUGAAAAUUGUAGAACUUAUAAAAAACUUUAAAAACUUGUAAAAGAAUUAUAAAAAUUGUUAUUUUUUAAAAUGUAAAAAUUAUUUAUUUUGGGUGGGUGGGUUUUAAAUUUUUUUUAAAAUUUUUAAAAAAAAUUUACAUUUUUUUAAAUUAUAAAACCCGCCAACCCAAAAUAAUAAUCUUUAUAAUUUUAUAUUUUUUUACAAAUUUUUAAUGUUUUUAAUAAGUAAGUUUUACAAUUUCCUAUACUUUUUAAUUAUUUUCCCAACUUUUUAAUAUUCUAAAAUAAGUUUUUUUUUACAUUUUUAAUAAUUUUUACAAUUUUUUUAACUUUUAAUGAUUUUUUUACCGUCAACGGCCAACAUAGGUUAACCUACCAUAGCAUCUGUAAAAUGCCAUGUUAUCAGUCAAUAUGACAUGCCAUCAAUAACAUGGCACGAUCUCAUUGGUCAUUUUGUUAAUGUCAUUAGAUAUUAGGUACUAAAACAGGUAAAAAGAACAAAAUUCAAGUAUCAAAAUGAGACAAAAAAAUUAUAUACCAAAGUGAGAAAACAUAUAUGACUUAAGGGCCAAAUAGUGAAUAAAGCCUCUUUAAAUAUACAAAAUUCUUGACUAGAAGAAACUAGACGAAGACUUACCUGUUUGAAAAAGAGAAAAAAAAAUGGAUCUUACCAACCUAACUAUUUGUAAGUUUUGUUUUAGUCAUUUAACUAAAAAAGUUACAAUUUGAUCAUUAAUAUUUUUUAGAUUAUUUUUUUAUAUCACUUGAUCAUUAAAUGACUAAUGAAAUGAUGAUGUAGCAUUUUCAAAAUUGAUAUAAUAACCAAUAGAAUUGUAACACCCCUCACCCAUUCCGAUUGCAGGACCUGAGUUAUAGGGUGUUACGACAGCCAAUGGAAUAGUUACAUGCAAAACUAAAUUCAAAAUUUCAAAUAACAUGCAAUUAUAACAAGCAUCAUGCAUCACGAACAAAACUGAGUCUAAAUCAAGCUUACGAAAGCUCUAAAAUUAACUUGGGAAUGAGCAAGGAUCAAACACUAAAAUUUCAUCAAAAGUCACAAGGCCGUGUGGUUGAGGCGUGUAACAAACUAAGGCCGUGCAAAUUCUAGAUGACCAAAUUUAUAAUACUCACACGGGUGUAUGGCUAGCCCAUGUGGAACACGGCCAUGUGGUACAAAAUAUGCCAAGUAAUGCCUACUUUAUGUCAAAUUAUAUCAAUAAUCUAAUUGAUUAUCAAAUGGACACUUAAACUUGCAUAAAACCUUUUCAAAAUAUAUAUCAAAGCAUUUAUUAACCAAUGACAAGUACACUCAACUCAUUGCACAUUAAUUGACCAUUUGGUAAAUAUGCCAAUCUAUGAAUUCGUCAAACUCUUCAAACAUGUACAAAACAUUCAUUUAACUCCAUCUCAUACACCAAUUUAACAUGCCUCAUUUGCAAGGUUGAAACUAGGGGGCUGGAAAGGGCUUCGACCCUCCCUAAAAUGGAAAAUUUUCCAUUUAAGCCUUUUAAUUUUUUUAAUAUUUUAAAUUAGUAAAGAUAAUUUCAUUUUGGCCCCCUAAAAAUAUAAAAAUUUGAUUUAAUCCUUUAUAAAUUAUAAAUAUAAAUGCUAUUAAAAUGGUGAAAUUGUAUUUUUACUAUAAUAAAAAUUAUAAUUUAAUUUCGACCCCCCUAAAAAAUUUUUCUAAUUUCACCCCUGCUCAUUUGACACCAAGCAUCUCACUAGUUUGAACAUUUUAUAUCAUAUUAGUCAUGCAAUUAUCUCACAUUAUUCCAUCACAUUUUCAUAUCAAAACAAACAUAUCAAUCUCAUCACAUUAAAUCAAUCAUCCACAUUCAAAAUUGGUCAUUCAAAUGUUUCAAGCAUAACUUACCAUAAUACUAUCAUGUACACUUUUAAACAUCAUACUUAAACAUUCAACAACCAAAACUAAGCAUCACUUAAGGUUAAAAUUCAUGAACACUCAAAAUAACAUAUAUACAAUACAAAUCCUAUUUACAUGCCACAUAAUCGAGUCCGAAACAAUUUAAAAGACUACCGAAUUAGAAGCUAGAUAGUGUGAGCUCCGAAGUGAUUCGACCGCCUCAUUCUGCAAAAGAUAACUACAAACAGAGAAAACAUAACAGAGCAAGCAUUACAUAUGCUUAGUAAGUUCAUGUAAAAUUUUACUUAACUUACCUUGAUCAAUCAACAAUAUAAACAAUUAAGACAUACUAAGACUAACAUGGAAUUCCUUUGGCAUCCUGUUACUUUCACAUGUACGUCAACAAGUACAUUUAGAGGUUAGUUCAUUUACAUGACAUGAAUUUAUAACAUUAUCAAAUACAUGUUUAACAUGUAACACCCCUAACUCGUUUUCGUUGCUAGAUUAGGGUUACGAAGUACCAAGCAAAGCAGAACAUUUAACUUCACAACAGAAACAAUUAUACAAAUUAAAUGUUAACAUUUAAUAAUUGAAUUUAAACAUGGUAAAAAUUACACUUACGGGGCUUAAAUCAAGCCUACGGGGCCCUAAAAUAAGUUUAGGAACAUUCCGGAAUCAAUUUGAAACAAAACAGAAAAUUUUAGAAAAACUUGAAAAUUUUGGAAACAGGGGUCACACAGCCAUAUGGCCAGCUGUGUGACAUAACCCAAACCAUGUGGACAUUCAAAGUCUAGACACACGGUCGUGUCCCAACUCGUGUGCCCAACCGUGUGGAUAUUUGAAGUUGGGUCACACGGUCGUGUGCUAGACCAUGUUACAUACUGCCUUAAGACACACAGUUAUGUCACAGGUCGUGUCUCAGACCAUGUGAAACCUGUACCUAAAACAAUAAUGACACAUGGCCAUGUGACAGCUCGUGCCCCAGACCGUGUGUUUCACAAAUUACCCCUAAAACAAGCCAAAACAUUAACCUUUUUCUUGCAAAACAAACCAUAACAUUUCCAAUCAUUUUCACACGACCAAAACACUUUAAAACAUAACAAAUUCAGCCAACUUAGGUGCCUAACCAAUAUGCCAUCAAUUGGCAACACAUCAACUUGACUCAAUUCAACAUUUCAAGUUCAUUCAUUAAGCAUAAAUUAUAUAUAACAAAUAACCAUUUCAAAGCAUACCAUUCAACCAUAUUUUUCCUACUUUCAUAUGAUCAUACAUAAAUGUCACAUACCAUAUAUUUACACUUUCAUUUGCAAUCCAUCAACUAAGGACAUUAAGACACAUAUAAGCUUGGCACAAACUCAAAACAAACCAAGUUAUCAAAUCAUCAUUCAAGAUCUACUACAUGCCUUUUAUAACCAUCAACCAAAGUAACCAAAAACUACCAAAAUGAUGGGUGGAUAGUGUGAUUGUUCUCCGCCGAGAUUCUAACUGGUUGAGCUUUUCGAUGAUCUACAGGAAAAGAAAACAACUAAUAUAAACAAAUAAUGCUUAGUAAGCUCGUAUAAAUCUUAAACGUAAACUUACUGAAUAGGCUCAAUUUAUGUAAGUCAUAAAUAAUUCCUUUGACAUGCUUAAGAGAUUAUUCAUUUCCUAUUACAACACCAACCUCACAAGUUAGGAAGUUCAAUAAUGAAACAUCAACAUUCAUCCACAUCAAGGAACAUAUAAUUAAAAGCAAAUACAUAUACAUAACAUUUAUCACAUCUCUAAUAUGUGACAUUCAUACCUUUAAAGCUUUUAUGCCAAAAAUUUCAAUUCUAUCUAUUAUAGUUUCAUAACAUUUUAUAUAAUUAAGUUCAUUCGUUUAAGCCUUUAUUACCCGUUGAACUAAAUGAAACAACAUCGGAUAUAUGGGAAUCAUGCUCACAUAAGGUGUACCUAUACAUGUAACUGAAGCCCUUUCUGUAAUGCUCACAUGAGCUAUGAAUAGGCAUGCUCACAUGAGUUGUGGGUCGGAAUGUUAAGCUACACGAUGAUGCUUACACGAGCUGUAGAGAAUCCACAACAAAUGCAGGACCUCAGCCAUCGGUAGGACAUCCAAGACCAGCACCCGAAAUCGUAUAACCCCUAAUGACAUGUAAUUUGUAUCCUAGGUAUUUGCAAGGUUCAAACGGGAUGCAUUACAUCCUUCGAUUCCUUUUUCGAUAUAACAUUUCAUAUGCAUAUUCAUGAAAUUUACAUUUUCCACAAUUUGUCAAUUUAUCACCAAAAUCAUUUAAUCUCAUUAAGUAUAUAACACAUAAUAAUUAUUCAAGAUAUAACUAACAUAAUUAUUCAAUAACAUUUAAACAAAUCUACAAAUAAUGAAUUAACCAUUAUGCGAACUUACCUUGACUACAACAAUUGUAAAAGUAAAGUUGAUGAUUAAUCCAAAACCUUAGUUUUUCCUUGAUUCAAGUCUAGUUCAUUCAAUUAAACCAUUCCAACACUUAAAUAAGUAAUUUUAUACAAUUAAGUCCUUCCAUCAUCAUUUUAUAAAAUUACCCCAACAAUUUACACUUUAUGCAAUUUAGUCCCUAUAUCUGAAACUUGCAAUUUAACACUUUUAAUUAAAAAUUCAUGCUAGCUUCCCUUAGUCUUAUAACAUCCCAUAUUUUUCCUUAUUUCGCACAAUUUACAUUAAAUUUUACUAUUUCAACAAUUUAAUCCCUAAACAUUAAAAUCAUCAAAAAUCACUUAACAAAAUACUUAUAUUUAACAACCAAGCUUAAUAAUCUAUCAAUUAAAUUCACAAACACACUUAAACAUUCAUGGUAACUCCCUAAACUUUUAACAAUUUUAUAAAUUGACCCCCAGGUUAGCUAGAUUAACCUACAACGAUUACAAAAACAUAAAAAUCAUUAAAAACAGGCUUAGUAACACUUACAUGCAAUUGAACAAAUGGCAAGGGAGCUUGAAGCUUUCUUCUUCUAUUUUAAUGGUGGUUUUUCGGUGGUUAAAGAACAAUGAAAGAGAUUAUGCCUAUCUGUUUAUUUUAUUUCAACUUAAUUUAUCUUUUCUUUUAAUUAACUAAUAAAACAUAUAUAUUAACAUAAUAAAACAACAUCAACCGUACCUACCCUUUCAAUAUGGCAUAAUUGCCACAGAAACCCCUUUACCUAUCUUAAAUUAAUCAAUUAACUAAUAUAAACUAACUUUUUAGCUUUUACAAUUUAGUCCUUUUUACUUAAUUAACUAUUUAAAUGUUAAAAUCUCUUAAUCACUCCAUAAAUAUUUUUGUAAUAUUUAUGGGCUCGAUUUAUAGAAGUGAGGUCUGGAAACCUCAUUUUCUAAAAUCACUUGACUUUAGGGACAAACCACUUGAACUUAACAUUUGUUCACUAAGCAAAAAUUAAUCAAAUCAAAAUUCAAUGUAUUGCUAUUAUUGACUCAUAAAUAUUAAAUGAUAAUAUUUACGGACUUACUCGUCAGAUUUGUGACCUGAAACCACUAAAAAAUAGACUGUUACAUAACAACUCAUUUCAUAACAUGUAAUAGUCAUUUCAUAACAUGUAUAUUUAUUUCCAUUCACGUACCGCCAUUUCAUCCAUUUCAUUCACUGUUUCAGUUUUUAUUUUUGCUCACCAUUUCAUACAUUUCAUUCUCCGUUUCACUUUCUAUUUUCGCUUGGAAAACUAAAGAAUAUUGAACUUGGAUACACAAAAUUGAUUUACUUCCACAAACUGUAGAGUUGAUUUGCUUAUACAAGAUUUAUUUGAUGAUGCUCACUCAAGCUGUUGAGAAUUCACAACAUGUGCUGGAUUUUAGGCAUCGAUAAAGAAUAAUUUGCUUUGCUCACACAAGCUGUGAUAUUUAGGCUAUUCACUCAAGCUGUAGGGCAGGUUUUGUUUUGCAACUUUAUUCUAUGUUGCUCACUUGAGUUGUCAAGAAUCUGUAAUACAUGUUGGAUCUCAGCCAUUGAUAAAGAAAUCCCUGAGCAACACCCGAUUUCUUUUUGACCCUUAAUGGCAUGUCAUUCGUAUCUUAAUCAUUUACUAAGUUCACAAGGACACCAUUAUCAUUUUUAUAUCAUUUCAAACCCUGAAAUUGUAUACUCAUUUUUCACAUUUCGAAUAACAAUCCAUAUACAUUCUUAACCCCGUAAUGCCACCAUAUUCAUAUAAUCCAUCUAUAUACAUUUCAAUUCCAUUAAAUACAUCAUACCUAUUUGUGGUAAUUAUAUCAUUCAUUCUUUACGAUUUAGUCCUUUAGAUGCCGAUUUCACCAAAAUUACAUAACAAUUUAAACUAAUAAGUAAACAAUAUAAUACAAAAAUAUCAUGAAUUAAAUAAGUAAGUCUCAUAUGUACUUACCUAGCAAAAACAACAAUUGAUAAGGUGUUAGGAACUAAUCCGUAAUUUUACAUUUUCCUCGAUUAUUAUACGAUUAAUUCAAUUCUUGGUGUAUAAUAAUUUAUUUCAAUUUAUCAAUUCAAAAUCUCUUAUAAAAUUCUAUUAUAAGCAUAUAUCAAUUCAAUUUCAUUUAAAAAAAAUUCCCUAAAGUUUUACAUUUCUUAACCCCGUAAUGCCAUCAUAUUCAUAUACAUUCUUAACCCUGUAAUGCCAUCAUAUUCAUAUAAUCCAUCUAUAUAUACAUUUCAAUUCCAUUAAAUACAUCAUACCUAUUUGUGGUAAUUAUAUCAUUCAUUCUUUACGAUUUAGUCCUUUAGAUGCCGAUUUCACCAAAAUUACAUAACAAUCUAAAAUAAUAAGUAAACAAUAUAAUACAAAAAUAUCAUGAAUUAAAUAAGUAAUUCUCAUAUGUACUUACCUAGCAAAAACAACAAUUGAUAAGGUGUCAGGAACUAAUCUGUAAUUUUACAUUUUCCUCGAUUAUUAUACGAUUGGUUCAAUUCUUUGUGUAUAAUAAUUUAUUUCAAUUUAUCAAUUCAAAAUAUUUUAUAAAAUUCUAUUAUAAGCAUAUAUCAAUUCAAUUUCAUUUUAAAAAAGUUCCCUAAAGUUUUACAUUUUCUUCAAUUUAGUCUCUAAAACAGAAUCAAGCAUAAGUUUAACAUUUAAGCUUUAUUUUUUCAAUCUAUUUUUAAUUUCAUCCUUUUAUAACCCUCUAGAAUCCAUAAUUAUAGAAAUUCCAUGAUAAUUUUGAAAUAAUUACAUUUUAGUCCCUAAACUCAAAACUAACAAAUUUUACUUUACAAGUUAGUCUGUAUUUCAUCUCCAAGCUUAUAAAAUAACAUAAUAGCACAAAAAACUUCAAAAUGUAUCAAUGAUAAUGUCACAUCCCAAAAACUGGGUUAGGAGAAUUGGAUAUGUAAAUUAGGGGUUAGUGAACCGAAAACCGUAAUUAUAUUAGAUAAUUAAAUAACUAGGAAUUAAUUAAAUAAAAUAUUAAAAUAAUUAUAAUUAAUAAUUUAAAGUUAAUAAAUUAAAAUUAGGUGUUCGAGAACUAAUUUGGUUAAAAUGGAUUUUAAAAACGAGGUUUGAUUUGAAAAUAAUUUUGAAAUUGGUUUUAAUUGAAAAGUAAAGACAUAUUUGAAAAAAAAGGAAGAAAUUAGAGGUGGGUAAAUGGGAAAUGGCCUAAUUUUUAAAAAUGGGUUGCCUAUUUAACAACCCUCACAUCUCCUUCCCUCUCAUUCUUCACCUUCUUCAAAAAUUUACCAAAUACAAAAUCAAAGCUUUUCUCCCAAAAUUAGUACAUCCUUUUUUAUUCCUAAGCUCUCUAAACACAAAAUCUCUUUUCAAUUUUGAAGAACACUCAUGUUUUCAUCCUUAAGAUCCUUAAGAGAUCUUCACACAUUUUAGCUCGAAUUAGCUCCAUAGCUCGUCAAUUUUGCAACAUUGAGGUGAGAUUCUAACUUUUUAUGAUUCAACUAAUUGAGUUUUUAUUUCAAUUCGAGAUUUAAAUGAUUUAAUCAAGAUCUCAAUAUGUCACUUGAUUUUAAGUUGACUUUUGGCUUGAAAAUGGUAGAUCUCAUAUUUCUUGGCUAACCUUUGAUUUUAAAGUGACUUCUAACUCAUUUUGAUCUAAUUAAAAGGUAUUUGAUCUUAAUUUAACAAAUCCUUAAUGAAUUUAAGCAAAUUGGAUGUUUUUCCUUUUUUAAAAGAUCACAUAAGCUUGAUUUUUUUGGAAAAAUUAAAUCGGUGAAAUUGGGUAAAUUUGAUAGUUUAUAUUUGCAAUUGAUGAUAUUUAAGAUGUAUGAAGUUGAAAUCUAAGCUUAGAAGUGAGAUUUGAGUGGUUAAACACCUAUUUGAUAAAACUAGUUAAAUUUUCAGUAUAGAGGUUAAUAGGCUUUGAUCUAGGAUUUUGGAAUGAUUUGGUGGUGUUUCUUGAUGUUAGUAAUGCCAUUGUAAUGUGUUUGAUGUGUAUGAAAAGUGUCAAUUCAUUUGGGAGCUUCUACAAUCAUGGACAAAGGCAAAUAAAAGUUUACUUGAGCAUGGUAGUUGAAACAAUGUUUGCUAAGGUGAGUGGUUUAAUAUACUACAUUUAAACUUUGGUACACAGGCUAAGGUAACAUAUGUGAAUCUCUGGCUUAAUUAGUAUGCGAACCUUGAUUUCUCCUAGUGCAAACCAUUUCAAAUUUGUUGAGUGUUGGGUAUUGUAUGCUAUACGAUUUUAAUGAGCCAAAUGCAUGAAUUUAAAAUGUGCAUGUAGUUAUAAGAAUAAAAUAGGUAGGCCGUAGAUGCAAACCAUGUAGUUGACGUGAUAAGUGUGUGAAUUGUGCAUCUAAUUAUUGCGUUUGUGUGUGAGCUAAAUAUUAAAGGUAAGUUGAAGUACUGUAAUAUAUACAUAUAUGAGUUUUGUUAUUUCAAUAUAAUAUAUAUGGGUUUUGGUGUUAUAUAUAUAAUAUAUAUGUGUCGGUUUUAUUAUAUAUAAUAUAUAUGCGUUUAUAGGUUUUGUAUCAUCUAAUAUAUAUAAAUGUAUAUGGGACUUUUAAUGUAUGCUAAAAUUUGGUGAUAAAGGUCACUAAAUAGGUAGGUAUAUAUAUGUAAUAUAUAUUCGUAUAUGGUUAUGUAAUGCUUGCGAACAGAUAUAAAAAUAAAUAUUAUAAUAUGGAUUUUUAUAACAUAUGAGUUUUAUUUAUAAUGCACAUUUAUGCAUGCACGAACCCGUAAGUGAAUUAUGAGUUUUACGAUAUUGGGAGCUUUUAUUAGUGCAAAAUCAUAUUAUCGUGAAAUGCUAAGUGCAAGCUUAACUGUAGUGUGAACCAAUUAUAUUUGUGUAUUGUGUUAUAUUGUGAACCAUGUUAACUUGGUGAAUUAUAUUAUUAUGGCGAACCAUGUUAAUUUGGUGAUGUAUAUUAAUAUGACGAACUAUAUUAAUUUGCCAAACUGUGUAUUGUGAGAUUUUGAGUUGUAUUGUAUGUAAGCUAAGCUAUUGCGUGCCCUAUGAUAAAUAAAAUAUGCGAACAAUGAUUUAUGUGAUAUAUGUCAUGAAUGAUAUGUGAACUGUGAUUAUGCGUGCAAUAUAUGUUGCAUGGAAGUGAUAUUAUUUGCGAACCAUGCUCUAUUGCGAAUUGUGAACUGUGUUAUAAUGUGUGAGCUCUACUUAAUUGUGAGCCCUAUUAUACUGAAUAUUGUGAAUGUGUUAAAGAGAUAUUUUGGCAUUGUGACCUUAUAGAACCAUUGGAUAUAGUUGGCAUGCCAUAGGAUUGUGAGUACUCACCCUUUUUAUUACGAUGGGUUGUGGCCCAGAGAUGCGUUGGAGAGAUAAUGGAAUGUUGAGCAUAGCUCCAUUCACCGUAGAUAGCGUGGUGUGUUUGGAGAAUGUGAGCAUACGUGCUACGCUUACAUGGAGAUAGCGUAUGACUUUAUAAGUCAUAAGGUGUGUUUUGGAGAUCCGUUUAUCCAAUGUGUAGUGAUAGAGUCCCCUAUAAGUUUCAUAAUCACAAAAAAUGUCAAUUUAUCAUUAUUUGAGAUACAUGAGUUAUGAUGGAGCAUGAACUGUUAUUUUGCAUGAAUUAUUAUUCGGUAUGAAUUGGUAUUUUAUAUGAACUAUUAUUUUGCAUGAGCUGUCCUUUGGCAAGAACUGUUAUAUGCCCAUUUUAUGUGAAUUAUUUAUUAUAUGUGCACCACUUAUUUUAUGAGAAUUGUUGUGUCGUGUGAUUUACUAUUUUGUGUAGACUGCAAUAAUAUGUAAACCGUUAUUGUUUGUCACCUUGUAACCCAACUGAUGUGUUUAUUUGUAGUAUGUUUGAGCACUUACUGAGCUUUCAUAAGCUCACCCACUCUUUUAUAAUAUUGUAGUGACUUAGCUUGUGAAGAGGUGUGGGAGUGAGUCAUCUAAGUGAUCCAAAUCGAGGCUAUACCUGGGUAUGUCGUUGUAUUCCCAAACCCAAUGAGGAAGGCAAUGCGGGACCAGGUUAUUAGAUUUAGUAUUAGACUUAUAAUUUUCGGGUUGUAAUUGGACACUAUGGACUAUUUAAUUGUUUGGUUUAAAACUUUUAUCAUUGCAUUAGAUAGAUGAUUGAAUGAUGAAUUAUGAUUGUUUGACAAUUGGUUUGAAUAACUGUUCGACUAACUUGUAAGUGCAGGUUGAAGAGCCGCUGGUCAUCGAAGUAAGCUUUAGAUGUUUUAUGUGUGAUUUGAAUACAAACAUGUGCUUGGUAUGCAUGAGAUGUAACACAGAAUUUGGUUAAGUCGCGUGAACUAUUAAAUGUCUACUAACUAAUUAAUUAAUAAUAUUAUGAGGUUGUGCGAGAUGCUUUAAUAAAUUUUCCAAAAUAAUACUUGUUGACACCAUUUUUUUGACAAAACGGGGUCGACUUGGACAAAAACGAAAAUGAGAGUCGCCACCAAUCCUUUUUGAUAAGGUGUGAUCGGGUCACCUUGAAAAGUGAUUGUUUUUAAUAAAAGAUUUGAUUUUAUGAAAACAGCGAUUUUGGUCCACGAAAUUCAAAAAAACAAGUUCGAGAGUCGGUUACGCACGAGGAAGGAUUAGCACCCUCGAUACGCCUAAAAUUGGUACCUAGUUAAUUACUUAAUGUCUUAGUGUCAAAAUUUUAAAACUUUGAUGAGAUUUAAAAUAUGAUCCUUUAUUGAAAUGUUGAAAAAUUUUGGGAAAAAGACAUGUUUCACGUUAUUCAAGAAAGAAACUUAUAUCCAGUAAGUUAGGAGACAAUGUCUUGAAUUCCCGAUGCGCGAAUGAAUGCUAAAAUUUACUUAUUUAAAAAAUAUUUAAUUCGGGUUUAGAAAAGGGGUCAUGCCCAGUAAGUUAGGACACGAUCUUUUUUUUAAAUCCCGAGAUCAUUUAAAACUUGAGAGAAAAAAAAGAUUCACGUAUUUAGAUUUAUUUGUGAAAAUCGAAACCCAGUAAGUUAGGGUACGACCUUCUCGAAUCUAAACACGAGGUUUUGCUUAUUCAAAAAUCAUAAUUCAUGCAUCGAAUUAAUCUAACUUGAAAUGGUAGAAAUGAAACUCAAUGUUAAUAUGCGUACAAAACAAUAUUGGAUACGAUGGUGUAAAAGAAAUACGAGCAAUAGCAACAAAAUGAGAUAAAUAAAAGGACAAAACAAUAACAUACAAGAAUACAAGCAUAUAAGCAAAUAAAAUUAAAACAUUCUUUCAAAAUAAUAAUGAAAAUGUAAAUAAAUAAUUAAAGGAAAUGAAUACAAUUAAAAAUGUAAAGAGAUAUAUAUGUAUGCAUAUAGAUAUAAAUUUAAAAAAAAUAUGUAUAUGUGUAUAUAUAUAUGUAUAUAUAUGUAUAUAAAAAUUAUGAAAAUAAAAUAGUAAGAAAUAUAUAUAUAAAAGUGUGUGUAUAUAUAUUUACAAAAGUUAAAAAUAUGUACGUAUAUAUAUAUUAUAAGAAGAAUAUGUAUAUAUAUAAAUUAUAAAGUAUAUAAAAAAAUAUAUAAGUAUGUAUAUAUAUAACAAAAUCUAAAAGGGGUAUAAAUGGGUAAAUAAAAAUAAUAAUAAGGUAAGUAAUAAUAAUAAAUACAAUAAUAAUGAUAAUAAUAAUAAUAAGUUUAAUAAUAAUAAUAAAUAAUAACGGGACUAAAUUGAAUAUAAAACAAAAUCACGGGGGAGAAAUCAAAAAUAAAAUAAGACAAAGGAUUAAUUUGUGACGCGUGCGAAAGGAGGGGGACCCAAAAGGAAAUAUCCCGCCAUCCAAAACGCAUCACUUUGCACGGGACUAAAAUGAAACAAAAAUAAAAUUGUGCAGCUAAAUUAAAAUAAAAGAAAAGAACGAAAAAAGGCCAAAUUGCAACGCGUUGCAAAAUCGGAGGGACUGCAUGCGCAAAUACCUCUUUUUAAGAAAACACGCGGAUCCUCCCCUAAGGUCGGGUCACUACGCGGGUCAGGGCCAAAACGGCAUCGUUUUGGCACCUGACCCUUAAUGGCAAAACAGCGCCGUUUAGCUUAGGGUACUUAAACCAGAUUUUUUUUAAAAACCUCAUUUCAGCCACUUUUUUAAAAAAAAUUCGAAACCCUUCUUGCUUUCUCUCAAACAUCCGGCCUUUAGGUUGGAUGUAGCGCCGCCAUAGCGCCACCGUGGACGGUGGCCGGUGCUGCGCGAGAUGGUGUUUCAGCCUUCCGUUUUAGGGCCCGAUUUAAGGUUGGGCUUUCUUGGCUCGAAGGCUGCGAGAAAGGAUCCCCCAAACUCAGCCUUUGGGGGUCGAUUUUAGAGAUGGGAGGGCCUCCGGCGGUGGAGCCGAGCGGCAUUUUCAGGUAGAUCUGCCCCCUUUUCUUUUUAUUAUUAUUUUCGUUUGUAAAAAAAUAAGAGAAGAUGAGAAGAGAAAUAAUAAUAAUAACAAUAAAAAAAUCACCUUUAAAAAACGUUUUCUAGUUUUUAUUUCUCAAAAUCUUUGUGAAAGAAGAGGGGACCCCCUUAAAGUGAUUUGAAUGGCUUUUUAUAGUCAUUUUACAAUUUUUUGUCUAUUUCUUUUUAAUGUCUUUUCUUCCUUAUUUUGUAGGUGCAAGUGGCGAUGUGAUCGUGGCGGUGGCGAGUGGGCAGGUGGCUGCAGGCAGCGGUGGCAGAAGAAGACCCUAGGUGCAGUGCACCUAGGGCUAGGGUUUCCAGACCUUUUUUUGUUUUGGGCCAUUUGGGUUGUAGAAAUUAGGCUGGUGUUUUAAUUGGGUUAGGGUGUUGGGUUCGUUUUUGGGUCUGUUAUUGGGCUGGGCAAAAUUGAGCUUGUACAGCUACCCCUCUUUGCUCGUUGUCGUGUAACGAAAAUAGAGCAAAGACCAAGAAAGACCAAUUUUGCCCGGUCUCGCCAAUUCUUGACUUAUUCUGGUGCUUCUCUUCUUCAAGUAGCUUCAUUUCAGUCCACUGCGUCUUGUCGCUUCGAUCUACUCCACUGCACUUCAGAAAGAUAUGACUUGUAGCUUCAAUCCACUCUACUGUACUUCAGAAAGGUUUGACUUGUAGCUUCAAUCUUCUUCGCAGCAACUUCAGGGGGAUAAUGUUUGACAUGAUGAGAUCCGCUAUCUACAGUCUACUCCACUAAAACUUUAGGGAGAUAAGACUUGUUAUGGUAGAUUUAGUCUGACCUACUGCAACUUCAGAGGUAUAGGAUUAGCAGCUUCAGUCUACUCCACUGCAACUUCAGGGAGAUAAGGUUUGCUACUUCAACCUGCUCUACUGCAACUUUAAAGAGAUAAGGUUUGAUAUGAUCUGUUCUACUGUAACUUCAUAGAGAUGAGAUUAGUUAUGGUAGAUUUAAUCUGUUCCACUGCAACUUCAGGAAAAAAAGAUUUGCUAUCUUUAAUCUGCUCUACUGCAACUUCAGGGAGAUAGAUCCAUCAUUUUAACCCGCUCCACUGCUCUACUGCAACUUCAAGGAGGUAGGAUUAGUAACUUCAAUCUGCUCCACUGCAACUUCAGAGAGAUAAGACUUAGUACGAUCAAUCUGCCCCACUGCAACUUCAGGAGGAUAAGAUUUGCUAUUUCAACCUGCUCUACUGCAACUUCAGAGAGAUAAAGUUUGAUAUGAUCUGCUCUACUACAACUUCAGAGAGAUGAGAUCUGUGGCUCUUCAAGGAAACAUUUGCUAUCUUCAGUCUGCUACACUGCAACCUCAGUGAGAUAAGACUUGUAUCUUCAAUAUGUCCCACUGCAACUUCAGGGGGAUAAGGUUUGACAUCCUCAGUCUGCUCCACUGCAACUUUAGGGAGAUAAGACUUGUAUCUUCAACCUGCCCCACUGCAACUUCAAGGGGAUAAGGUUUGUUAUCCUUAGUCUGCUCCACUACUGCUUAGGGAGACAGGAUCUGCAAUCUCCGAUCUACUUCGCUGCCAAUACAGGAAGACAAGAUCUGUUAUCUUUGACCUACUUCACUGCCAAUACAGGAAGACAAGAUCUGUCAUCUUCGAUCUACUUCGCUGCCAAUACAGGAAGACAAGAUCUGCUAUCUUCAGUCUACUUCGCUACCAAUACAGGAAGACAAGACCUGCUAUCUUCAAUCUACUUCGCUGCCGAUACAGGAAGACAAUAUCUGCUAUCUUCAGUCUACUUCGCUGCCAAUACAGGAAGACAAAACAUGCUAUCUUUGAUCUACUUUGCUGCCAAUAUAGGAAAACAAGAUCUACUAUCUUCAGUCUACUUCGCUGCCAAUACAGGAGGACAAGACCUGCUAUCUUUUAUCUACUUUGCUACCGAUACAGGAAGACAAAAUCUGCUAUCUUCAGUCUACUUCGCUGCCAAUACAGGAAGACAAGACCUGCUAUCUUCACUGAUCUGUUCUCUAGGGAACAUGACCUUUUUAAUCUAUUUUAUGAAUCUAAUUAUGCCUGGUGAUUAGGAUGACAUGAUCAAAAUGAAUCAAGUGCUCCUAACUAGACGUAUAUGAAUGAUGUUUGCAUGAAUGCAGAAUGUCAUUUUUCCAAUAAUGAUCUCUCUUUAAUGCUUAAGUUGUCGUUGCUCGAAGUUUAUUAAGGUUUUAUCACUGACGCGCUACAACGCCUUCUUACUCGACUGGCAUAGCUAAAGAAACACUUAAUCAGAUUUCCCCCACUGUGAACGUUAAUGUUCUAUCCACUGGGACGCAAAAUUUGUACCGUCAUUCUCCCAUUGUAACCCAAGAGUAGAAAAAUAUGGCAUUUUCUCAAUCCUCUCCUAUCACAAUUAAAGGAUAUAGAAUGUGAAGCUCUUUGGUCUUUUGUCUCGUUCCCAGGGUGUCAUACCAAAUGCUCAUGCACCAAUGAAGAAGUUUCUUCCCACCUCCCUUUUCACCAACCUUAGUUUUUCUCUAGGUGAAAACUGAAAAGUAGCAAUGGAAAAGACAACAAAGAUGGCACAGGGUAUAAUAAUGGGUUUCGGUCCGAGUUCAACAAUUUGGGGUUCAUUUUAAAAGUAACCUAAAUUUUUUAUUAAUUAUGAAAAUGAUUCAACUUAAAAAUCAUGUAUGUAAAUGACCUGAUUUCUUUGGUGUCACCAUUUUCAAUUCAUUCUCUAAUAUAUUUGAAUUUAGAUAAACUUGAAAAAAAAAUUUGAGGGAUAUAUUUGGGUAAUUUAAAUAAGAAUUAUAUAUAUAUUUAACAAUUUCAUUAUAGAUUCUGAUCAUAUCUGCUUUUUUUGACACAAUGCUUAGAACUAUUCACAAUCCCUCCCCAACCCAUAAAUAGGAGGAUAAUGCGCUUCAGCGCACUCGAACUCAUGCCCUCUUGCAUUGGCAACAAUGCCCAUGCCAAUCGAGUUAUAACUUAAUCGAUAAUUUUAUAUAGAUUUUUAAGUUUAUUGUUUAAAAAAAACUAAAAAAAUGGAAUGGUUUAUUUUUGUUAUUCUUAUAUUUUCUAAGAGCUUUUUAAAUUUAAUUUUAAAAGUAGACAGAUCUAACAUGCAAAUAGACCAAAAAUUGAAAAGCAUUUAAUUUGGUGUCAUAUUGUGAGGGCAAACUUUUUUCCAGUCAAUCUAAAAAAAGUAAUUGCUUCAUUAGGUCUCUAAAUAUUUUAUAUAAUAACACUUCAGUUCGGUACCGUAAAUUUUUCAAGCGGCACCACAAAAACUUAUUUUUUUUUAAAUGUAAUCAUUGGCCAGCAGUGGCACCAAUAUUAGGUCAUUUACAAACAUGAUUUUUAAGUUAAGUCAUUUUCGUAAUUAAUUAAAACAUUUAGGUUACUUUUAAAAAAAGCCAACUAUUUGCAAUCUAAAUGGGUGUGAAAGGAGGCCAACCCCUCAUUUCUUGGUUCUCCCUAAACCUGUUCAUGGGUCGGGCCACCUGUCCCGGCCUGAAGGCCUGCUCAAAAUGUGAGAGAGUUUGGGCAAAAAUAUAGGCCCUGAAAAUGAGCUUGGACAAAAAAUAAGGCCCGUUUAAAAAAUAGGCCGGGCCUCGGAUAAGGCAUUUUUUGCCCGGGUCCAGCCCGAAUUCACUAAAGGACAAAAAUUUUUUUUUUUUGUUUUUAAUAUUAUUUUCUUAUUGUUUUCUCCCUAUUUUGCUACCAUUUUACUAUUAUGUUGCUACUAUUUUGUUAUUAUUGUUUGGAUAUUGUAUAAACUUAUUUUAUUGUUAAUUUUGUUAUUAUUUUAAAGACAUUUGUUAAUUUUGUUAUUAUUUUAGAGGUAUUUGCUUGUUAAGUUCAUCUAUCUUUGCAUUAUUUAAGUAUACAUAUUUUUUAAAUUUUAUUUUUAAUUUGUUGGGAAAUAUUUAUUUUGAUAUUUUUAGUAUUUUGAUGUAUUAUAUAUAUUUUAAAAUUAUAUAAAAAAUAAUAUAAAAAUUAAUAUGGCGGGUCGGGUUGGGCUCGGGUUUUAACAUUUUUAUCCGGGUCGGACUUGGACAAAAUUUAGACCCAUUUUUCGAGCUAUGACGGGCCCAAGCCUAACAAACAGGCCUAAAUUUUUAGUUGAGCCUGACCCGAACCUGGCCCAGCCCAUGCACACCUCUAGUUUUCCCUUCUCAGCUUCUUCUUCAGCUUCCUCUUUAGUCCCCAUUUCACGUCACUACAUGGUCUCAAAUUCCAUGGACCCAUCACUGUAGCCUCUUCUAUGCUCCCAAAUUUCUUUGGGUUUGCAAUCCGUUUGUUGUUUAUAAUGCAAUUCUAAUGUCUAUGUAUUAUUAUUUAUGUGUUUAUACUUUAAUUUUAUUUAUAUAUUUUAAAAAAAAUUAUAUUUCUUCUUUUAUAUUUUUUAGAAUUUAAAAAAAGCAUUUUGAAUUUUUUUAAUAAUUUUUUUAUAUAAAAUCAAGACUAAAUUGAUAAAAAAUAUAAAUGUUAAAAAUUAAAUUUAUUAUUAUACUAAUUAAAAAGUGUCACAUCAAUAUUUUAUUAAUCACUCGAGUGGUAAAACAAUCAAACUCGAAAAUAUUAGUGACCAAAUUAUAACUUUUUUUAAUUAAGUAACAAAAACGAAAACUUAAACAUAAUCAAAUGACUACUAUAAUCGAGUUUACCUAUACCCAAAAACACAAUGGCAUCUAUCAUGCAUGCUUACCAUUAUUGUAUCAAUUAGCAUCUAGUUUUUAUUUUAGCAAUAUCAUUUCAAAUUUAUCAAUAUUUUAUAUAUUUAUGUUCUAAUUUAUUAAUAAAACUAUAUUAAUACACAUGUAAAUAUAUCUCCAUUACAAAUAUAAAAAAAAUAUAAUAUUUUUUCAAUGUUUAUAUACAAGUUUUUAAAUUAUUAAGUUAAAUGACUUAAUUUAAAGAUAAGAUUUUAUCAUUUGAGUAAUUAAAAAUUAUUAAGACAUAAUAAAUAAUAAAUAAUAAAUAUUGAUUUAAAAUAUUAAUUUUUUUUAACAAUCUCAUUAUAGAUUAUAAGUUCUGAUUAUAUCUGCCGCUCUUUUUAACACAAUACCUAAAACUACCUAUAGCCCAUCCUCAACUCAUAAAUAGGAGGAUAAUGUGUUUCAGCACACUCGAACUCACAUUCUCUUUUAUUGACAACAAUAUUCAUAUAAAUUGAGUUAAGGUUCAAUCGGCUAAAAUAUUAAAUUUCUGUCCCAUCAAUUCUGGUCGAUACAUAGCGGUAAAGUCAGUAUCUAUUAAAAAGCUACAUAAUUUUAGAUUUAAUGGCUAUUAGAUUGAAACUAAAAAUUAUUAAAUUAAAAAAUAGGAACUAAAUCUAUACUUUACAUAUAUCACAAUACUAAUAACAAAAUUUAACCUAAAACAUUUACACCAUAAAUGAAAUUUCGAUGUUCAAAAAAUACAAACCAAAAUCGAUCAAAUUGAAGUGCAUGACUGGAUGCUAAAUUCAUAGCUAAUAUAAAGUAAAAGUACUAAUAACAAAAUUUGAUACCCUAAGCUCUUGUACAAACUUGGUAAACUAAUUUGGGCCAAGUAAAAGAUUGUUCAAUAGAAUCAAAAUCUCAAAAUAUGAAAACAGAGUCAACUGCAAAAAAUCAAGUUUAGAUAUUAUUCAAGUUUUUCAAAGGAAACAGAUAAUUUUCAUACAACAAUACUCAAAAUCUUAGAAUCACAGCAUCAUAUUUGUAACAUUUGCAGUAACUAAACUCUACCCAUCAAAACAUCUCCAUUUUUAGACCAUUCCUUUAAACAUCCUAUCCCAGUAAAUUAUUGAUUACCAAUGGAGUACCACAUAACUUUGGGGGGGGGGGAUUUUCCCAUCAUAAAACCCUAAAAAGUAAUCUCCUUGAAGCCGCCUGCUUGCUGGUUUUUUCAUGGACUCCAGAAUCGGAUUCAUCAGUAAACCACCCCACAGAUUUCUGGGCCUCUAGCAUAAUCUGUGAUAUACCUGCAAAAUAAAACAAAGUCAGCAAUCAAAUGCGUGGAUUAAAAUCUUCAAAAUUAAGAAAUAAGAAAAAAAGAAGGGUUCUUUGACAUGAUAUCAGAAACCGAUGCAAGAUUUAGAGAAAGAACCUUGUUGAACAGUUUGCUUGUUGUGGCGGAUGUCGUGGAUGGUGGCAGAGAUUUUCCAAUAAAGAGGACGGCCGACGUAGAAGAGGGCCAAGAGGAGGAGCAGCGCUAUUACUAUGCGGAAGGUGAUCCUGGAUGUUGAGGAAGCCAUUGAUUGAUUGUUUAUUGAAUAGCAAAGGGAGAUUUGAGAAGAUUUAUUUGAUAUUGAGAAAGUCGAGCGAGCCUUGCAAAUCCACAAAUACCAAAGCCCCUUCGUAAAGUUGAAGUGACGUAUAUCAUGGAUCCAAGAACGACACUAUCUAUAAUCUAUUAUAUAAAAUGGAUCUAAUUUAAAAUUAAACUAAUUUUAUGUAUUUUUUUAUUUUUUAUCUGUUAAAUAUUUUAAUAAUUAUGUAAUUUUUUAAGGGAAAAGAUUACGUGAAUAAUAACAUUAUAUAUCAUCAUUAAAUAAAUAAUAACAAUGAAAAAAUUAUAAAUAAAUACUAAUAACUAUAUGUAAACAUAAUUAUGGGUUGGAGCUGGUGGAACAGAGUCUAAAAUUACCUUUGUGACUCUGUGUUGGAUGUUGUGAAAAAAUAGAAAAAAUUAUGUGUUCCAACAAGUGAUUGGAAAAGUGAAGAUAUGAUAAGAAAAGUCGAGUGUUAUGCUAAACAUAUAAUUGAAGCAAAUCUAAAGAACAAUAAAUCCAAAGAUUCCAAAGCUAAGAUGGAGAGGUGGUGUCCACCCAACCAUGGAUGGAUCAAAAUCAACACCGAUGGAGUGGUUAGUAGGGAUGGAAACUGGUCGGCAAUUGGGGGAGUUUUACGCGUCUCAUUUGGAAAUUGGAUUGAAGGUUUUCAAAGGUUUGAUGGGAGGGGUUCGACCGUGGUUAUUGAAUCUACAUGGACUAGAAAAAACUAAAAAAAAAAAAGGAUACACUAAGGUGAUUAUUGAAUCUGAUUGCAUGAUAGUUGUGGAUAUGAUUAAAGAAUGCUCUGAAAGUACACAUUCAAUGACUCUUAUUAGGAAAACCAAUGAAGUGUCACGUCAAGUUCUCACAUCAAGUUCUAACAGUUAAGUUCCAGUUCGUGAAUAGGGAAAUGAAUAAGGUAGCUGAUUGGCUAGCCAAAUCAUGUUCUUUUAAUAAUGUUAACUUAGUUUAUGUUGAUAUCCCUACACUUUUCGGUUGGAAAAUUACUUAUAGAAGAUAAAUAAGGUGAUAUACAUGUAUGAAUAAUUUGCUUUAAGGCAAUGUGUAGCCUUCUUUUAUUUAUAAAAAAAACAUAAUUAAAUAAUAAAUGUUAAAAUCUUAAACCCCAAACUCAAGGCUAAACUUUUAAACCUAAUAUCCUAAAUACAAGAGUUAUUAAUAUUUAUAUUUAAAUAAAAUUAUUAGUACUUAUUUACAAGUCUUCCAUUUUUUAUUUAAUAAACUUAUAUACCUACUGUGCAUCAAAUAUUUUUCUAUUUUUAAAUUAGUUUAAAAUCUUCAAAUAUAAAUUCAGAAUUUUGUUUUUAUUAUUACCUAACCUAUUUAUUAAACCUUUUAUUGAGUUGGUGUCACCCACCAACCGAGUCCUAACUUAGUUACAGAAUUACCAAAAAACUUAUUAUUUGCAAAAGUAAAUUAUAUGAUUAUAUGAAUAUUUUUGCCUUUUUAUAUUUUUAUAAAUCAAUAAAAAAUUUAUCUACAAUGAGAUUUAAACGAGGGACACCAUGCAUAUAAAACAUUUUCCUUUACCAUUGAACCUUUAGCAAUUUUUGGUUUUAUAUGAAACUUUGAUAAAUAUAUUUGUGAUCUAAAUAACUUAUUUUUGCAUGCAUACAUGUAUAAUAAGAUUCUAAUUUUUUUUCGUUUUAAUAUCAUACAUAUUUCAUGUGUUAGUAUUGAUUAGUUUCAAAUCAUACUUUUCAUUAAUUAUUAUAUGUUAUUUUUAAACACACAUUAAUAUUCUAAAUAUGUGAUUUCCACACUUAUAUGAUAUGUAUGUGAUAAGAUUUCUAAAUCUCUCUAAAAAUUUUCUCAGAUAAUUUUUUCUUUACAACUUUCUCUUGAAUUCAAGUGCGUGUAAAAUUGACUCAUGGCUCUCUUUAUAUAGGGAAAGUUUAGAGAGUUCAAUUAUAAUUAAACUUAAUCACUUCAAUAUUAAAUUAAUAUAAUACUUAUCAAGAUAAAUAUUAGAUUAAUAUUAAAUCUAUUAAAUCAAUAGAAUAUUUAUCUGUAAGAUAAAUAUUAAAAUAAAUUUAAUAUUAAGAUAAUUAUUUUAAUAUUAAAUUAACAAAAUACUAUCAAGAUAAGUAUUAAAUUAAAUUAAAUAUUAAAUCUAUUAAAAUAAUAUUAUUUUUUGGAAUAGUUAUCUGAAAUCAAAUUAUCCGAUAAAGUCCCAAUAGGAGUAUGAUUCCUUCACUGCUCAACCGCAAAAGGACCACCCAUCGGCCACCGGAAUGUCGUUGUCGCCUUCGCCGACACCGUCGUGUCUGGUGGUGCAAUCGUAGGUGCGACACCCUCACAACAACCUGAGCCGGUUCGAUUCGAUCCAGCCACUAGUUGGAUCGUCGGUUCGGUUCCACAUACCAGACCUAAUUUAACACAUUUUGGGUCUUGGUCUCGGUUUUUUAUUCUCGGGCUCAAUUUUUUAUCUCAUUUUUAAUUUUCAAAUUCAAUUAUCCAUUGGGCUAAUUGUCUAACUUGAAAUUAAUUUUUGAAAAUAUCAUAUUAAUUUUAAUUAAUUUUAUUAAUUUAAUUUAUUUGAUAAAAAUUAAUUUUCUCAAAAAUCACUAAGAUUUUUCAAAUUAAUUUUUCAAGAAAAUUCUUUAAUCAAAAUUUCUAGUUGAAAAUUCUCACGACUACCUAAUUUAAUUCCACAUCGAAUAAAUUGACUCAAUUAAAUUAUUUUCAAAGUCAUUGAAUUUCCUUCUAAUUCAAAUACAGUCCGAUUGAGUUUUUGUUGAGCUAGUGGAGGGACCAAUCAAACAUAUACAAUUAGGCUUUAGUAAUUGCAAUUAUAUUCAGAAUUAUUGUUUCGAUAAUUCACAAUUUACUUAAUCAUGGAAUCAGUCCACAAGAAGUACCAUGACUGAAAACUCCUUAUUAUAUACUCUUUAUGAAAGCAAUUCAUCCAACUGCUUUGUCCAAUGACCUCGUCAUGUGUGUGUUACUCUCAUAUGAUAUCAUUGAUUCCUUUGAGUUAAAUUCGUUCACUCAAUACAAUCAUGUUUUACCUCAUUGUCACCAUUGUGUCUUUUUAAUGAUUAAUAUGAUCACUGUCAACAAACGACUGUAAUAAAUUGCUUGUUUGAGAACAAGCAACCCGUGGCGACAUUCCAUAUUUAUCAAUCCACACAAUGUCAAUGAAAGGAUAUCGUUAACUCUUUAAUCGAGCUAUGAAUUUCAUUGUUGCUAAUAAAACCAUGUCAUACACAAGUCAUGUACUCAACAUACCGACUAUGGACUCAAUCAUCUUCAGAGCAUAAGCCUCCACUUAUAUCAAAGCACAUGAGUUACAUACGCAUGGUCACUGACUAACUUAAGAUUUAGGUAAAUCACACAAUAAACGUCACAAGUGAAUUAAUUCACAAACAGAUUCAUAAUUAAUUCAUCUUGGAUCUAGUCCAAUGUAUCAUUCUUCCAAUGAAUUUAUCUAUGUUUCUACUCGUGGAGUCAACUGGUCUGAUAGUCAAGACUAGCCUUCUCCCUAUUUGAAAUUGUAGAUGACAUAAUAAUCCUUCUAAGUAUUUGAAUCUAAUGUUCACUUUGAUUCUUUUACAGAAUUAUGGACUCGUUUAGAUUAUCUGCUGAAGUAAAUUGUUUUUCUUGCAAUGCAAACGUUCUUACAGUGCCACUUAUCAUCAGUUUGAACUUAGACAAUCAAUGAGCUAAAAUUUGCUUGUCACAAUUUCGUUAUGCAAUAUGAAAGACAGAAACACAAAAUGCAUAAUAGUGAAAUGUGAAAUUAAAUUUAUUUAUUUAUUCAUCGUUCAAAUGCAUAGAAAACAAUUACAUAUAUACUACAAUAUUGACACAUUUCCAAACAUAAAGGGCCACUAUUACCGUUUUACAUGGAUUGACAUUAACUUUGUUGUAAUAAUCUUAUGAUAUAUGAUUUGCCAUUGACUUAGGUUAACGCUUAGCAAUCAAUCUUUCUUUACUUUCUUGGUUAUUAAAGGGUAACAUAUUUCAAAUUAUUUCCCUUACUAAUAAACAACCCUAUAACUUUGCGCUUCAAAUUUAACUUACCAACAUCAUUAAGAUCGAGAGAGACCUAGUUCUAACCAACAAACUCACCUUAGCAAGGUUUAUUUAAGUUAUAUCACAUGCCUACACAACAUAGAAUGCAUAUCUUUGUCAUACUUACCUGUGUUGUUCAUCACUAGUAUUAGAAUAAAUUGACAAUUACGAAUUUAAUAAUUCUAAUUGACAAGGCAAAUAUUCUAAGCUGUGAAUACAAAUUGAAUAUUCAACAAACCUGAAUAUUUGUAAUUUAAUAAAAAAAUGCAAAUACUAAAGAACAAAAAAAAAAGACAAAGAAUAAUGUAACGCCCUAAAAUUUUUAAUUCUUGUUUUUGUGUUUAUGUGACAUAAGUACUUGUCUACUUCAAUGGUUAAGUGCUCUGGGUGUGUGUGGGAGGUUUUAAGUUCAAGCCAUGACUUGGGCAAAUUUUAGUAUUUUUAUAAAUAAAGCCUUAAACUGGCCUAAAGGGCUUAAGUUUAAUAGUUGGUAAUCAAAUAACAGAAUGGGCAUGUUGGUCUAGUGGUUAAGUGGAGUGUUUGAUUGUAUGAGGUCUUGAGUUCAAAUCCAUGUUGAAGCGUAAGCGUUAUUUUUGCGCAGUGAUGGACAAGUAUUUCGGCAGAGUGGGAUUCUGGAGUGGUUGUAGGUUAGUAGGAUUAAUGGGAGAAAAGUUAGAGAUAUGGGAUAGCUAUCGAUAUCAUCUAAAUUUCUAUUUUGUUUUUAUUUUUCCCAAAUUUCGGCAUUCUCCUCUUUUCCUCAAUUUUUCUGUCGUCCUAUUCUUCUUUGCUUUGCCAAAUUUUUGCUCCCUAGUCCACUCCCUCUGUUUGAUUUUUCUACUAGCCCACUUUCCGGCCAGCAAUUGUAUACACUCGUUCUGUAAGUAUCUGACUGCCUCUAUUUUAUCGUUUCUUAGCUAGUUCCUAAAAAGGAUUUUUUUUGGCUCUCUUGGUUUAGAAAAAAUCAGAAAUCAGUUGCGGCUUCACAAGCAAAUUGAGCGUUAGGAAUUUUGGUUCUUUGUCAGUAAGUGUUUAGGUUCACCAUCGAUUUUGAUGUAAACGAUUUUCAGUUGUGAGUUUUCGUUAGUGACCUAAAUUAGGCUCUAAUUAUUUAUUUUUAGGUCUUGGAGUGCUUGAGAGCAUAUUUGCAGUGAAACGAUAUCAGGUGUGUACCCGAAACACAAAAAUAAGGGAUUCGGCGAAAAGCCGAAAUUGCUUGUUGUUUGGACAGCAGCAGUAGGCUAACUUUGAAAAAUCACCAUAAAUUGUGAAAAUCAAAUUAGAGGAUGAAAAAAUAUGGGAUUAAAUAUAUUUGAGUCUAGUUUCUUGUAGAAGAAACAAAGUAAGCAAAAUAAUUUCAUAUUAUGAGAUAUUUGAAUUUUAGUGAGACAGGAUUAGAAUGAUUUUGGAAUCCCCUGUCCUGAAUUUGGAAAAUUAUUAAAAAUUUUAUAAAAAUAAUUAUGGGUUAGAAUUUAUAUGUUUAAAAUCCUGAAUAGGUUUAUUUUCAAGAGAAACAAACGGGAACAUCAUCCAAAUUCUGUAAGAGAAGAUAAUUAAUUUUUAGUGCAGAAAGGUUGAAACUGUCAGACAGCAGAGAAGGGGAAAUUUUAAAGAAUAAACUGUACUUAUUGGCUAAACCAAAAAUUCUAAAAAUUUUAUGAUAAGAAUAUAUGUGAGUCUAGUUUCAGAUAAAUUUUUCGGAUCUUAAUUCAGAAUUCUGUAGCUUAAGAUACAAAUAAUUUAGUAAUAGUGACUCAAGUAGACAACUUUGAAGGAUCAUAUAAGUAAAUAGUGGAAACACAUAUGAAUAAUUAACUAGCACAUGUUAUAUUAAAAUGGAUCACAAGGCCAAGGCCAAUUUGGGUCAUGUGGGUCACACAGGCGUGUGGGCCCACACGGGCGAACAUCAUGGGCUUGUAGGCUCAUUUUCACUGUUUAAUUGAUAAGGUUGCAUGGGUCGCCCAAGUCGACUGUGAACCUACUGUAGGGUCGGUAAGUUUACCUAGACCCCUGAUUGACUGAAAUGACUGUAUGACUGAUAUGAUUAAGCCUAAUGAUGUCCCAUUAAUUUGAUACUGUAUGCCCUGUUUACAUGCAUGAUAUUAUGUUAUAGCAUGUCAUUCUGUAUAUUGCAUUACAUUGGGUUGGGGGAUUAUAAUGUUUAGAGGAAGUGUACUGAAAGGUCUCGAGCCUAAUUUACUGGCAGCUCAGCUGCAAACUACUGUCUAGUGCCGCAUUCGGAAUGUAGGGAUAGGUGGGUUGAUUAUAUCCCCACAUAGAGUGUAAGGUUGGACGGAGAUGGUGUGUAGAGGCUGGAUGGGUAGGAUUUUUGUGACCGCAUAUCUGUUACUGCUACUUAUACUGUGAUGGGCUAAAGCUCUACUGCAUGACUGUUUAUGUACUGAGAUGGGCUAAGGCCCAAACUGGACUGAUACUGACACUGAAAAGGGCUUAAGCCCAAACUGUGAUUAUCUAUUUAUUGUAUGUUCAUUUGUAUGGGGAUUACACACUGAGUUUACGUAAACUCACUUCUUCUGUUUAAUUUGUACAGGUAAUCCCCAAAUUUAGGCAGAUCAGUGCGGCGGAGGACUCAGUGGUGGCCACACGGCUUCUUUUACACCGUUUAUUACCUAUUUAUGAUUUUACUUUUAUUUGGGAGUAUUUUGCUGUAAUUAUGGCCUUUACGAAUUUUGGUUUAAAAUUUGGAUUUUAUACGGUUUUAUGAUUUAAAUCUGCUAGUGUUAGGUAAAACUCGGGUUUUCAAAUGAAACUAAUGUUUUAUCAAAAAUACCACAAAUAAGCAAACUGUUUAAAAGCUUCCACAAUAAAAAUAAAAAUAAAAACGUUUUGAAAUUGAAUAACGAUUUGUAAAUGAAUAAUGUUUUGAAAACGAACGACAUGAUUUGAAGUUAAUAUAAGUUAAUAAAAAAUGGUUAAAUAGAAAAGAGGAUUUAGCGACGACAUAUUUUUCGAAAAGCACUACCAUGUGACGUCGUCAGAUUCAACCAUAACGUCUAGACCAGGUUUGGGGUGUUACAAAUAAUUAAAUCCCACAAAUUUUGCGAAUCAAACUUUAAAAAUCUCUUUGAAUAGAAAAAUAAGUUUAGAAAUUCAUGGAGAAAAUAAAACGCAAAAUUAAAAUAAAAUUAAGGUGGCUAUGUCUAGGUAUUUUAACUUAAUAAUGUCUAUUUAUAAGGUAAAAAGUUAAAAAUGUCUAUUUAUAAGGUAAAAAUAAUAUAUUGGAAAAAAUACAAAAAUCCUUUAAUUAAAUAUUGCAGAUUUUUUUUAUAGGUUUCUUUGCAAAAUUUGCAUCAAAUUUUCGGUCCAUUUUUUGGACACCUUCUUGACAUUUUUGGACUUAAUCCGUGAAAUAAAUUUAUCUAGUUCUUUCAAUUUCCUUUGAAUUGGUAUAUUAUGAGCCCAAAAUGAUGUUCUAUAACUUAAGUUAUGACCAAAAUAUUGAAACUAUAUUGUGUUGAAAGUUCAAUACGCAAAAACUUGUAAAAAAUAAAAGCUGUUUUUUCUCCCAUUAUUCCCUAAAUACAUAAUAACUAUAAUUAAGUAUAGAUAAUAUAAUUAAGAACAUAAAUAACAUAAUUUAAGAGAAGAAACAUUAAAACAAUAAGAAAAUUAUGCACUUAUCAAUAUAAAAUAUAUAUGUUCAAAGUAGGCCCAACCCACACGGGCCAUGCCUACUUUCAACAAGAUAUUUUUAAAUUUGGGAUAAUUUUGAUCACCAAAAUUUACGAAAAACAAAAUAAGUUAAAUGCUCAAUUUGUAUUAGAUAUUAUAAUUAUUUAAGUUUCUUUUUACCUAAUUGAUAUUUAAAUACUAUUUUCCAUUAGUUUAUCAACAUAAACUAAAAAUGCUACUAAUUUUAUCAUUAAAAAUUAUAAAUCCUAUAAAAGAAAUCAAAUUUUAAAAAAUGAAAAACUUUGGGGACCAAACACAAAUUUGUCUUCUUUUAAACACUAAUUAUAAUUUUAAAAUAAAAAAUUUCAAAACUCAAAGGGGCCUAAAAGAAAUUUUACAAAAUUUAGGGGGCCGGGGCCCUAUAACCCCACUGAAUUUACCUCUGAUAAAAUAUUUGUUAAGUUCAGGUACCAAAGUGGACAAAAAAAAGUACAAGUACCAAAAUGAGCGUAGUUGCCAAGUUCAAUAACAAAAAAUUAUAAUAUCCCAUUUAGAAAAUUAUAAAAAGUAUAGAAAAACUAUAAAAGAAAUUAUUUAAAACUAGUAAAGUUUUUAAUUAUUUACUUCUUGACUAAAUUAUCUAUAAUAUAUAUAUAUAAGCACGAGUUUUAAAAAAAACUUUUGAAUUAAAAAGAAUAUCUUUUAUUUUCCUUCAUAUUACUAUAUUGACAUUUAAAAAUAAUUACAAUAUUUAAUUUAGAAUUAUUAAUUUAAAAUUUUAGAAUUAUAAUUAUAAUUUAAUUAUACAUUUAAAAAUAAUUAUAAUUUAAUUGAAGUUUUGAUAAUUACAUAUUUAAAAAUAAUUAGAAUUGUAAUGGCCCAAAUUUACCCGGCUCAAAUUAGAAAUAAAUAAACAAAAAAUAUAAACCAAUAAAAAAUAGUCCAUUUUAAAUUUCCAUUUACACUAGGCUCAAUAUGGCCCAAACUAAACAUUAGCCCAAUAAAAUCUAACCCAAAAUACAGUCCUAAACCUGGUUAUAACCCAAACCUAAUCUGACCCAAUACGACAAACUCGAUUCCAGCCCAAUAGCCAAAACCAGCCCAGAUUUUUUUUUUUACUUUUGCAGAAACCCUAAACAGUUUCAGAAAUCACAAGCGCCGCAGUAAUGGGAUCCAGGCUUCGCGCGUGCAUUGCCAACGCAAGCACUCAUUUCCUCCAUGCGCGUCCUUCUCCCAGCUAGCCGUACCUGCACACAAACGAACAGCAGAGAGCAAAGAAACAAAAGAGGACGCAGCAAAAAAAGGGAGGAUAACAGGAUAGAUUUUGAUUUCUUUUUCUUUUUUCUUCUUUUUCGGUUAUUUAGGCUAUAUAAAAGCCAAACAGAAAUUUGUAAAGGGGGGAUCCACGAAUAUUGUAUAAAAAAAAUCAGAAAGCAAUAAGAAAAAUCAAAAGUUCGGAAAUGUGAUUUCCAGUUUUGCUUUAAAACCUUUUUCUUUUUUCGUUUCUUUGAUGGAUGCUACUGUUGUACGCGAAAGAAAAUAAAAAAUGGGUGAAGUCUUACCUGCGCGAGCGCUUCAUCGGAGCCUGGUUCAUUCCGUCAGAAUCGGAAUCGGAAAAGGCACGAGUUUGCGCGGCAGCUGAAAUGGUGAGGAACUAGGUUUUAGUUUGAGGGGAGUGAAAUGUUAGACUUUAGGGUUUUCUGAGGUUAUUUAAGCAUGAUAAUACGACGCCGUUUAGAGGCGUGCGACCCGCACGGUGAUCCGACCCGGGGAAGGAUCCGCGUGUUUUGGCCUCUGUGGGGAGAUUUGUGCAGAUGGUCCCCCCCUUUUGGUUGCGUGUUCGAAUCGCUCCUUUGCUUUUUCUAAUUUUCGCCCUUUAAUUUGAUUUUUGUUUCAUUGUAGUCCAGUUCAAACACUGCGUUUUGGAAGGCUGGGAAUAUUUCCAGAUUAACCUUCCAUGUUAUUCGCGCAUUGCACACUGGCCCUUAUUUUGUUUAUUUAUGUUUUUCCCGAUUAAUUUCGUUUUAGUUGCAAUUUAAUCCUUUUCGUGUUAUCUGCUUCUUUUUAUUUGGUUUAAUAUUUCCAUUAUUAUUAUUAUUAUUAUUAUUAUUAUUAAUUUUUUACUUAAUCUUAUUAUAUAGAUCCUGUUAUUUUAUUAUAUGAUAUUAUUUUAUGUUUUUAUGCAUUUUUACUUAUUUUUAUGCACAAAUAUUUUAUUCCUUUUAAAUUUACUAUUCUAUCUUACUUACUUUAACUUAUAUAUAUUAUGACUAUAUAUAUUAUUAUUUACAUUAAGAUUUUUUUUACUUAUAAAUCAAAACAUAUAUCAAUUUUAAAAUUUAUUCACCUUUAUUUUCUUACAAUUCUUUUCUUUAGAAUUUACUUAAACAUUUUAUUUUUAGUUCCAUUAUUAAAUUGUUUGAAAUUUUUAUAUUAAUUAUUUUUUAAAAUUUUGUGUAUAUAUAUAUUUUGAAUCCUGAAUUUAUUUUUUUAUUUUAUUUUGUGAAUACAUUUUAUUUCCCUUUUUAGAUUAAUAAUUCUUGAAUGUUAAUGUUGAUAUUUACAUGUGAUGUGAAAUUAUGGUCUUUAUGCGUAUGGUAUUUGUUUAUUGGUAUUCAUUUAUUAUUAGUGUUUAUUAACUUAUAUUGUGGUUUAUGAAUUAUCGCCUCGCGUUGUGCAUUGUUAUUCCAUUGUGCUUUAUUCGUUCAAAAAGUCGUGUUUAAUAUGGUUUAAUAUCAAAACCGAUUUAUUCAAAAAACUUUCAAGAUAAUGCAAAGUUUGGUAUUUGGAAUCUUCGAAAGAAUUGAGCCCUAAUGUAUUGGGUUCCAAUUUUCCUCGUUGAAUCUAAAUAAUCGAAGAUUUUCUUUAAUCAAAACACAUAAAUAAAAGCUCAUUCUCGGGAAUUCGAUACGUCGUGUCCUAAUGUAUUGGACAUGACAUGUUGACUCCUCGAGAUGAGAAUUUUUAAAAUAAUAAUAAAUGCAAUAUUAGAUAUUUAGGAAUUUUGUAAAAUCAAGCCCUAACUUACUAGGUUUUGAUUUUCUCAUUUGACCCAAAUGAUCAGAUAUCCUUCUAAAAAAUGUAUAGGUUUUAAAAGUUAGGAGAUAAACUUAAUUUUGGGGAUUUAAAAUGUUGUACUCUAACUUACUGAGUGUGACAAUUUAUCUCUUUGAAAUAAGUGAGGCUUAUCAUAUAAUUCAUUUUAUUCAAAUUUUCUUUUCAAAUGAUCGUAUUUUAAAAUCUUUUCAAAUUCUCGACACUAAGACAUUAAACAAUCAAUUCGGUACCAAUUUUGGGCGUUACGAGGGUGCUAACCCUUCCUCGUGCGUAACCGACUCCCGAACCUAUUUUCUCAAAAUUCGUAGACCUAAAAUCGUUUUAAGGUGUACCAAUCACACCUCAAUAAAAGAUCGGUGGCGACUCCAAUUUUCGCUUCAUUUUUAAGUCGACCACUAAAUUUUUGUUUUUCAAAAAGGGGUUUCGACAUGAAUUAAAUUACAAUUAUUAAUUAAAAAAGUUAUGUUAAUUUUAAAAUAGAGUUACUACUAACUCUAAGUAUAAAAUAUAGGGAAAACUGUGAUAAUUAUAAUUUACAAUUAUUAGUUAAUUUAUUUUACAUAAAAAAAGUUGUGCUAAUUUUAUUUUAAAAAAGUUUACUUAAAUAUGAUUCUAAGCAUCUUAAUUAUCACUUAAAUAAUAUUAGAUUUAAUUAUGUUAAUUAAUUAUUAUUUUGGAUAAUAUUACUUUGCAUUAAUUACAUAAAGUAAAAUUAUAUUGUAUGCUGAAUAUGUUAAAAAUACUUUAAGUAUUAUUUGAAAAUUUUAUAUUAUAAUAUUUGAAUUGAUAAGUUAUAUUUUUUAUUAUAUUCAAUAAUUCAAAUAAUAAAUAUUAUUUUACAUUAAUUGUUGCAAUUAAAAAUAAAAUGUUUAAAAACUAAUUAAAUAUUAAACGUCUAAAAUCACAUGCAAUACAUUUAACAUUUGAAGCUAGUUAUAAUGUAAAAUUUUAAAGGUUAUAUUUUGCUCAAAGCUAUUGUACAUCUUUUAUAUUUGGAGUUCAAUCUCCGUACUUUUAUUUUCAAGUAUUUAGCCCCUCUACUUUUCAAAUUUAAAAAUUUAGGUCCAUUUGUUAAUACUGUUAAAAUUAUUUUGUGUUAGUGUGACAUUUUGAAAAAAAAAAUAAAACAAGCAUGAUAUCUAUGUAACCAAAAAAUAACAUUGUAAGGAACUUGAAUUUAAUAAAGAAUUUUAACGGGGCUAACAAUUCUUAAAAAUUCACAUCAUCAUUUUAAUUAAAACAAAUUAUUUAGACUAACUAAUAUUAUUAUAAAAGUUGAGGUAUCAAAUUAUGUCAAAAUUAAAGUAUAUGUAUUAAAUCUCAAAUUUGAGCGAAAUGUAGGGAUCAAAUUAAAAUUUAACCAUUUUUUAAAAUGUGUCUUUCAUUUUUUGGUCAAACUAGAGUCAAAGUAGAGUCGAGAUUGUGAUGAUGUGACAUAGGACGUCACGACGACGGAUGACGUCCCAACAAGGAAGCACGGGAUGUCACAACGACAUAAGAAGGCAUACAACAUGACAACCACAUCCUAACGAGAAGGCAUACGACAUGAUAGCGACAUCCUAACGAGAAGGCAUACGACAUGACAGCCACAUCCUAACGAGAAGGCAUACGACGUCACAAUGACGCGACGUGUUUCCCACAUAAAUGAGUUUCUUCUCUUAGUUAAACUCUACUUACUUUUUCCAGUUAAACUCUGAUUUCUCAAAAGAUGUUUUAGUCUAAUUAGAACUCUAAACCUUAGCCUAGAAAAAUUGGCUUUAUUAACCUUAGAAUAACAUCUUCAUCUUCAUAACAUUAAGGUUAAGAUAGAAGAUUAAGAAAAGGCUUUGAGAGAGCUUUAAGGGAAUCUUGUGUUUUAGCCAAAGCUUUAUAUUUUUAGGGUUUAGAGUUUGUUUUUCAUUAUCUCCAUAUUGUACUCUUUGUUUAUUUUCUCAUUUAGUGAAGUUUCCUUUGCUCGUUUUUUAUCCUCUUCAUCGAAGGAGUUUUUUCCACAUAAAUAUUUGUGCCCAAUUUUCUUUGUACAGCCCAAUAUUUUGCCCAAGCCCAAAUAAUCCAGACCCAACUAGCCUAGCCCAAUACACCACAGCCCAAAUCAGAAAAAAAAAUGCCCAAUAAGCCCAAAUCUAACCCUAGCCCAGAAACCCAAAUCAAAAACAAAAAAUUAAAAUUUUCAAACCCUAGGUGCACCGCACCUAGGGUCUUCUCUGCCUUGCUAGUCGCCGCCCUAGUGCCACUGCCACUAUCCCAUCACCUGCCAUCCACCGCCCUACUCCUGCAAACAACAACAGAAUAGGGGGGAAUAGGAUAUAAAAAACUAAACUCUUUCUGUAAUAUGGGGGGCCAAUCUUGAUGUUUGUAAAAAAAAACAGGGGUUUUUUACACGAACAUUAGAGAAAAAUAAAAAGAAAAAAGGUUUUCUCUUCAAUUUUUUUCUAUUCUGUUCUUUUUUUUCUUUUUCUUUAUUGUUCAUAUAUGUACCUUCAUAGAUAUUUAUAUCUUAAAAUUAUAUAUACACAUAUGUUUUUAUUUUGUUUUAUAACUUAAAACUAUAUAUACAUACAUAUAUUCUUUUUAUAUAUUUUAGUCUUAAAAUAUACGCAUACAUCUAUACAUCUUUGUAAUAUAUAUGUACAUAUAUUUUAUAAUUUAUAUAUACAUAUAUUUUUGUAUUAUUUUAUAAUUUUAUAAUGUAUAUAUAAACGCACAUACUUCUAUAAUUUAUUUAUUUACUUCUUUCUUUCUUUCCUUCUUGUAUCUUUGUUUUACUUAAUGUUUAUUGGUAUACUUACGUAUAUCUUUGUUGUUUUGCUUUUUAGAUUUUUUGAUUUUCACGUGCAUAUGUAUACAUAUUUAUACUUUAUUAUUUUUAUAAUUUUGUUCAUGUUCAUUUUGAUUAUUUAUUCAUGUCUUUAUCAUUAUUUUAAUCUAAUUCGUUCAUGUAUUUGUUAUUUUACAUGUCAUUAAUUUGUCCUUUUAUUCAUUCAUUUUAUUACUGCUGCUCGUAUUAUUUUUACUUGCAUCAUCAUAAUUAUUAUUUUGUCAUAUAUAGUUUUUACUCAAAUUCGUAAAAAAGGGCGAAAUUUUAGAAAUAUAAGUAAUAUUCGAUAUUUUGGAUCUUCAAGAGAAUCAAGUCCUAACGUAUUGGGUUCCGACUUUCUUCGUUGAACUUAAAUAAUCGAGAUUACUCUUUUAAUAAUAAAAAGCUCAUUAUCGAGAAUUCGAUACGUCGUGUCCUAACGCAUUGGAUAUGACAUGUCGUUUUCUCGAUAUGAGAAUUUUUCUAAAAAUAGUAAGACAAUAUUUCGCGUUUGGAAAUUCGAGAAAAUGUGCCCUAAUGUGCUGGGUUUCGAUUUCUCGUUUGACCAAAUAGCUAAAUAUCCUCUUAAAUCUUAAUCCAUGUCAUUUAAGGUUUUUUUAGGAUCGUAUUUUAAAUCUCUUUAAAGUUUUCAGUUUUUCGAUACUAAGACAUUAAGUAAUCAACUAGGUACCAAUUUUGGGCGUAUCGAGGGUGCUAAUCCUUCCUCGUGCGUAACCGACUCCCGAACCCGUUUUUCUGAAUUUCGUGGACCAAACUUGUUGUUUUAAUAAAAUCAAACCGUUUAUUAAAAACAACCACUUUUCGAGGUGAUCCAAUCACACCUCAUAAAAAAGGAUUGGUGGCGACUCCCAUUUCAUUUUUCAAAACCCAAGUCGACCCUGUUUUUUAUCAAAAAAAUGGUGUCAACAUUCUCUAUUCCUUCUUUCUCGUUGUUUAUAUGGGUCGAUCCUCAACAAAUUAGUAUUAGAGCUUGGUUAGGAUUUAGAAAUCAACUCGUUUAUAGAUGACGACAAUGAGAUUUGAUAUCGAAGAGUUUGAUGGGAUCACAAAUUUCAGUUUAUGGCUAGUUCAGAUGACUAUAAUACUAGUUCAAAGUGGCUUGAAAAACGUCAUUACAAGGCAAAAUCCCACGGAUUCAGAUCAGUUAAAAUGGGAUGAGCUUGAUGAGAAGGCUCUGUCUGUAAUUCAAUUUUUCCUUACAAAAAAUAUGUUAUAGGAGGUGCUUAUGGAGAAAACGACAUUCGCCUUAUGGAGAAAGUUAAAACCCUUUACAUGACAAAGUCUCUGGGUAAUCCGUUGGUGUUAAAAAACGCCUAUUUUCGUAUCGCCGAAGGUGCGUCUAUUAGGGCUCACAUUAGUGAUUUUGUUUCUCUCUUAAAUGAUCUGAAGAAUAUCAAGGCUAAUAUAGAUGAUGAAGAUCAGGCUAUGCUAUUAUUAUGCUCUUUGCCCUCUUCAUAUUAGUCUUUUAGGGAAACUCUGAUUUAUGGUAGAGAUAAACUCUUGUACAAGGACGUGAAGGGAAACUUGUUGAGCGAAGACAAACUCGACAAUGAGCUAGGUUCAAAUAGCAAGUCAGAUGGGCGAGCCUCAGUUUUGGUUGCGAGAAAUAAGAUUGAAUCGAAGUUGAGGAAUCGAGACAAGACAUGUGGCUACUGCAAGAAGUUAGGUCACAUUAAGGGAAAGUGUUAUAAGCUGUAAAAUAAGAAUAUGAAGGCUUUUGGGAUAAACAAGAGAGCGGUAGUCGAUGCUAGUUUGGCCGAGAAUAAGGGUGAUGACUGGUUGCUGGUGUCUACGAUCAAAAGGUCUAACCUUACGUCCGAGUGAAUCCUAAAUUCAAGGUCUUCUUACCAUAUAUGUCCCAACAAAGGUUGGUUCUCCACAUAUAGUUUAGCUAAAGGUGGAGUUGUGCUCAUGGGGAAUAAUUCACCUUGUAAGAUAAUUAAUAUUGGUACUGUUCAGAUCAGGAUGCACGAUGAGAUUGUCAAUACACUAUUAGGUGUUAGACAUGUGUCUGAUUUUUAAAAAAAAACCUCAUCUCCCUGGGUAAGUUAAACUCGAACAAUUGUAGAAUCACCAUUGAGUCAAGUAGCAUUAAAGUAUCUCGUGGAUGUAAAACCCCAAACCCAACCUAGACAUUAUGGCCGAAUCUGGGAGUGUCAAAAAGAAGGAUUUUGAAAAUAGUGUUAUUUCGAUAAAGCUUUGUAUAGUUGUUCGAUAAAUCAUCCAAGUUUUAUAACCCAUAUUCGUUUAUAACUAUUACUGAAAGCGUUAUUUAAUUAAUUUAUUUUCCAAAACAUAAUUUACAACGGAAGUCUUAGAAACCGUUAUAUUUUGAAAAUCCAGUUCGUAUUUUCAAAAAGCCUUCGUUUUCGUAAAAACCAUGUUUUUAGUCAACCAUCGCAAAUAAAGAGUCAAAAUGAAGAUCCAAAUCCAAAAUAAAAACCAAACAGUCCGGAGAGUCUAAUAAUUACAAAACUCUCAGAAAUAAUCCUUAAUUAAAUAAAAACCAUUAUUUAAAGUCAAUUCACAAACUUGUGGUCACUGUGAGACUCCGCCGCACCAAUCUGUCUAAGUCUGUGGAUUACCUUAAGAGAAUAGACAAACAGAUGUGAGUUUUCGUAAACUCAGCGUGUAACCCAACAGAAAUAGACAUGCAACAUACACGAAUUUCCAUGAUCAGUCAGAUACAGAUUCAGACCUAAGUCCACAACAAAUACAGUUAUCAGAAUCAGACAAAUAGAACAGAUAUAGUGAGUCCUACCCCCAUCCUCUACAUACCAUCUCCAACCAUCCCAUCACACCAUAUAGUGUCGAUGCGACACAUUACAGAUAAUAUGCAGACAAGUUGCCAGAAUAUAGGUGAAGAUUCACUAUACAGACCACUUCCUCCGUAUAUACAAUUCCCACCCCAAUCAACGAUACAAAAUAUAGAUACAGUAAUAUCAUGCAUAACAUACUCAUAUACAGAUCACAUAUAUAUACUUAAACAGAACAAUCAGAUAUAUAUUUCGGUGUCCUACUCAGAGCAGACUAUCAGAAUAUCAGAUCACAUAAUUUAGGGUUUGGUUAGCCCUUAUCGAACCUAUGGUAAGCCCACAGCCGACUGGAAAGACCCAUGCGACCUUAAGGAAAAUUUCAGAAUUAUGGGCCCAUACGUCCAUGUGGUCCACACGCCUAAAUUGGCCUUGCCCGUGUGGCCCACAUGACCUAGCCCAUAACACAUACGCCCGUGUGGGCCCAUACGACCACACUCACACUAACACAUAGUCUUGCCCUACGCACGACCAUGCCUUCGUCAAACACAUGAUCGUGUCUCGUACACGGCCAACCACAAGACAGGAAAACGCCCAUGUGACGUCGACAGUGUAACACCCCUAACCCAUAUCCGUCACCGGAUUAGGGUCACGAGGUAUUACUAAACCCAUGCAUAGAUUAAAACAUUUAUGCAAGUCAUAUUCAUAAAUAUAUAAAGCAUAUAGCUAAUUAAAGGUUAAACAUUAGUUAUUAAUCGUAUUACAAAUACAAACCAACACCUCAUAAUAUUUACUCGAAACCAUGCCAUGAAUAUAAUCACAUUUUCAAACAAUUAGACAUGUCUCAAAUUUAUACAGUAUAUAUAUACAUGCCUUACAAAACAUAAUACUCGAAUUAUAAGUGCAACACCUCAAUAGUAUUUGAAUACCUAUCAUGAAUUAAGCACUUUAUUUCAAAGUUCUAUACAUGCUCAUACACGGCUUGUUGUCCAUAAACAAAUACAGCAUUAACCUCUCCGUAAUAUGUUCAAACAUAUUACAUUAAACAUUAAAACCUUAUGCAAAAAUUUACCACAUUAAAUAUAAAUCAUUCAAGCAUGUUCAUGUGCACACUUAGUAAUUCUUUCCAUCCUCUAUUCGACUACAAGUUAUAAUAUUAAACUUUAUGCCAUUCAUGCAAUACUUAUUUAACUAAUAUUAGCCAUAUUCUAUAUACAUUUUAUGAGUUAAACUUACCAAAUUUUUAAUAGCUAUGUAUCAUGCCAAAUUACACAUGCUUUUUAAUUCAUUCUUUGUCUAAUCGGUCAAUACGAUUAACUACUUCAUUGAUGCAAAAUUUACCAUUCAUUCAUAAACCAAAUUAUGUCAUUAUCUAAUAUUAUUAGAAAGGUCCAUCCACAACCAAUAGUACCGUAAGCAUUUAAUUAUUGAUUUUACCUAUUAAUAGUUGAAUAUAAACAUGCUUAAAACAUAAUCAUGUGAUCAACCAAAUUAACCUAUUUGUAAACCGAAUGAUUACCUAAACAUAGUAAAUUAUCAAAAAUAAAUAAUCAAAUUAAUGUGGCCACACUACUAUCAUUUCGAAUAUAACAUCAUACACCAAAAUAAAAUUCUAUCUUUAACUAAUCAAAUUGACCAUCAAAAUCCGAUACAUAUACAACCUGUCAUAUACCUGUUUACAUAUGAAAUCAAAAUAUCCACCAUUCAAAAUUAUUCCGCAACUCAUACUUCCAAAAUUAGCUAACUAUCAAACCAACUAUUUAUCCUAAUUAUCAUUUCCCUUUGCUGAAUUUUUAAUCAUCAUCCCAAACCUAUAUACUAAUAACAUACUUUCAAAAUAGGUUCAAAUUCUAGCCAUAUAUAUAUAUACUACACACAACUUUAACUUUAUAACCAAAUACCACAUAUAUAAAUGCACCAUGACAUAUACUUUCCUAAUAAGCUAUUAUCAUAACCGAAUACACAUAAGUACUAAUAUCAAAAUUAAGCCAAUUUCCAAUGGCUAAAUAUAUAUACACUUCACGACUAAACAAGACAAGUGCUAGCCUAUACAUGCCAUAUGUUUAAAGUUUCGAGCAUUUAAAAAAAAUACCGAGAUCGAGAUCGAUAGUGUGACAAACUUCCUUGACAAUCCCCGAGCUCGUAACUAGCUUCCAAAAUCUAAUAAACAAUGAAUGAACAAACACACAGUAAGCUUAAAUAGCUUAGUAAGUUGUAAGCAAAUAGUUUUCAAAGUACACAUACAAAUUAUACAAAUAGGUGAAAUUUUACGAAUCUUGUACACAUACAUAUAUACUCAUAUAUAAGUAAUUCAUUCAUCUUAUCACGCUAUACAUAAUACUUACCUUUAUUUUCAACUUCGUAUAAUUCAAACAUACCUGAAAUUGUUCAAUUCAAACACACAUUCGGUUUUGCCAUAUAAUUUCUCGAUAUACCAUUCGGAUUCAAAGAGAAGAUACUCGGAUAUCUCAAAAGCUCGUACAAUGCCAACGUCCCAGAUGUGGUCUUACAUGAAAUUAAAUAGCGGUGCCACUGUCCCAGGCAGGGUCUUGCACGUAAUCAUAUGCGACGCCAAUAUCCCAAACAUGGUCUUACACGUAAAUCUCAAAUCGAUGCCAACGUCCCAGACGUGGUCUUACAUGAUAUCACAUUUCAGCAUUCCUGUGAUUCGUAUGGUUAUCAGAUGUCGUAAAUCAAUCGAAUUAAACUCGUAAUUAAUCCUCCUAUGUUAAAUACAAUUCAACAUUGUAAUAUACAUACAUACAUUUUGAUUCCGCUAUGUAUAAUUUAAAUACAUAAAAUUUAACAUCAAUUAUUUACUUACGAACUUACCUCGGACAAAGAUGAACGAUACGGAACGACUACUCAACCACUUUUGAUUUCCCUCGUUCCAAAUCUGAUUUCUUCUUUUAUUGAUCUAAUUCAAUACAAAUUUGGCUUGUUUAUUCACAUAUUCAGUCAAAUUCAUCCAAAAACACAUAAAUGGGAAAAUUGUAUUUUAGCCCCUAACAUUUCACAUUUUCUCAAUUUAGUCCCUAUUUCAAAACAACUCAAAAUAUUUAAAAUUUCAAUAUACCCUAGUUAGGCCGAAUCUACCUUAGGUCUCUAGCAACCCAAUUUUAUCAUUUAUUUCACAUUUUGACCCCUCAAUUUACAAAAUUCACAAUUUAAUCAUUAAUACACAUUUUUACUAAAAAUCACUUAAUUAAACAUAAUAAUCUAUCAACAAAGAUUAAUUUUUCAUCAUCAAACCACAAAAAUCUCAAGCUAUCAACAAUGGCAAAUCACAAAAUCCACAACCAAAUCAAAAAUUCAAGCAUGGGUUAACUAGUAUUCGAAGCAACAAUCUCAAAAACGUAAAAAUUAUCAAAAAUCGAGCAAAGAACAUUCCUAAUUUAAAGCUUCAAAGUGCCGAACCUAAAACAACAAAAAUGGCUCCUUUCUUCUUCAAGUUUCAAUAAAAACAAAGAUGAAUGCAUGGCCAUUUUGUGUUUUAUUUAAUUUAAUUACAUUUUAUUAUACAUUUACCAUAUUAACCUUAAUGAUAUAACUUUAAUAAUUAACUAUGCAUGUCCAUAAAAGUCCACUCAUAAUUCUAAUGGUAUAAUAUCAACAUAAGGACCCCAUAUUAUAAAAGCCAUAGCAAUAUAGCACUUUAACAAAUAGCAUGCAACUUUUGCAUUUUAUGCGACUAAGCCCCUUUUAUCAAAUUAAGCACACAAACGAAUAAAUUAAAUCACGAAAAUUUUACACAUGUCAAUUCACAUACUAUAAGCAUGUAAAAUAAUAUUAAAAUAUUUUUUGACUCGGAUUUGUAGUCCUGAAACCACUGUCCGACUAGGGUCUAAACUGGGCUAUUACAGACAGAAUACUUUUUUGGCUUUCGUCGAAGUUUGGUUUUUUGUGUUUAGGGUAGACACCUGAUUCGGUUUUUCUACGAAUGCAACCCCGAGGCUUUCAGAACCUAAAACAGAUUACCCAACAAUAAUUUAAAAGAUUGAUUAACGAAUUCAACAAUAAAAAUCCAACACGAAACCGACUUACCGCCGACGACAACCACCGCUAACGCGUACUAAGCCGUUGGAGCACUAACUAUAGGUUCCCCGUCAAAUAUUACACAAAACGUUCUCAAAGAAUUACUUUCCUCCUAGAUUACCCUAUUAAUGAAAAUCCCCACGAACAACAUAAUCCCAAACAAUUAACAGAACUGAAACUUAUAGUCAAACGAAACCCCACUUACCAAAUAUGCACGAUGAACACCGAAAUAUCGAG